rnacentral:lncRNA from 1 species
AAAAAUCAUAUUUUCACAUAAUUCACACCCAAAUACACUGAAAAUCGUUCUAACCAUCCCUACACCCCAGAAAUACUACAAUGCAAUUACGAGGAGGGGUAAAAUAAUCAAAACACAUAAAAAUACCUAUUUAACAUAAUUUAUCAAAAUUCAAGUCGUUACAGAUGAGUAGCCAUUCCUGUGCGUCGUAAGAUAACCAUUAAAAUUAUCUUUCUUAGGGCGAGGAUGAAUAUCCAUCCCUAUGCGCCGUAAGAUUAACAUUAGAAUUAUAUUUUCUUAGGCGGAGAUGAACAUUCAUUCCUUUAUGUCGUAAGAUUACCAUCUUCAUGGACCAUCUUUUGAAGCCUACCUGCAAGAAGAAAAAGGAAAAGACAACACAAAAAAUCCAAAUACAAAAAAAUUUGUUACAUGUCAGGACAUUUCGAACUCAAAAGUCAUACAUUAUCAACUUGGAUGGACUUGAGACGAAAUCUUUUGGUGAGGAAGAAACCCUCAAAGUCUGAUUUUCAACAAUCAAAACACUUUUUGAUGGCGACAUUUCACAUCAAGAUAUAAAUUAUUUGGUGAGGCGACACAAAUCUGAAAUUCUCUGACGGACAAAAUCUAAAGUCAACUUUAAAAAUUUAUCUGGAAUGAUUCAGGAGGUGUUAAUUCUAAAUCUUGGACAUGUUACAUAUGCAUGUUUCUGGUAUCUAUGAAAUCAAGCGGAUCAUGAUUUCGAUUCUUCCACAUUAAGAUACAAUUUUUUUUGGUGUCAAUGUGCAAAUCUGAAACUGUUGACGCAUCAAAAUUCAAUGUUAAUUUUGAGAUAACAUCUUAAAAGAUCUCAAAGGUAUUAAAUUAUAAAUUUCGAAUAUGUUGUAGAUCUUUGUGUCUAGUUCCAUAAGAAUCAAGCGGCUUAUGAAAGUUUUAGCAAAGACGCACAAGUCUAAAAUUUUCAGCAUAAUAAAAUUUAGGGCUAACUUUAAAAAAUUGUCUAGAAUUAUAUUGAAUGAUUUUAAGUUUGAAUUUUGGAUAUGCUAUAGAUCUCAAAGUUUAGUUUCUGAAAUAUCAAAUCGUUCAUGAAUUUGAUAUUUCUACAAUAUGAAUUUCCUACUACUAACAUAAUCAGUUGAAAAAAAAGUGACAAAAAAUUAAAAAAAAAAUAGAAGAGAAAGAAAUUAACUCGGCAUUAUUCAUGGCUCAAAAACCCCAAGACUGAUAUUGAAAGAUAUUGAAAAAGUGGAGAACCUACAUCCUUUUACAGAGUUAUAGGGUGGCUAUUUUCAUUUCCGAUAUAAAUUAAAUUGAAAAGGUUACAUUCUUAAUUGGAAAGGGCGAUGGAAUGUUUUUCAAAAUCUAUUUGAAAUUGAUCAAAAUCAAGAUAUUCUAGUAAAAGUGGAUAUCAUUAAUCAAUUCAUUAUUGUAGCUGGAUAUCAUGCCUCAACAAUGAAUCAUACGUGCCGAAAUUCACGACAAUUUUUUUAUUUUAAAAAAUCGUGAUUAAAAGAAAUAUUUUUGAGAGGCAAUAUCAAUAUGUAAAUUGCAUGGUCCAACUUUAAAUUUUCACAAUUAAUAAAAAAGGGUGUUCAUAUGUAUCAAAAUUUUUGAAGCAUGAAGUAGACAUGUAUAAAUAAAUCAUAUUUCAAAUCUAGUCUUUAAAGUAUACACUCGACCAAUAUUGAAUCAAGGGGCAUUUGAAGUCAUACAAAUUUUAUUCAAAUUAAAUUUGAAAUAUAUUAGUCCAAAUAAAUGUGUGGAUUAAUAUGAUUGAAUUAAUUAUUUAAUACAAAUAAAUAUGAAUUUGUUUAAAGUUCAAUUUCUCUUUGGCUAAUUCAUUAAUUUGGGCUACAAAUGAUUAAACCCACUUUAAUAAGACCAAGAUGUCAUCAUAUUAUAGAGACCCAAUUAGACGUCAUGUAUCAAAUAGCGUGACAUGUCAAGUCAAGUGAAGAAACCAAUAUAAAUACUAAAAAUUACACAAAUACACAACUUAUAUUUUCAAUAUUAAAAAAAAUCUCAACUCCGUAAAUAUAUUACAAAAAUUUCAACAUAUACACAUAAUGCCAUGUAUAUGUCAGCUAUGUUAUGUUUAUUAAUAGGGAGAGAGAGUAAAGUAAUUAAAAAAGUGAAAGAGAGUGUAAUUAAUUUCAAAAUGAUUGAUAUUUAUGUUAUUUAUACAUAUAAAUAUGCCACAUUAUAAAAUGAUGCAACAUACUUGGUGAAAGUAAAGACCCAAUCAACUGUUGCCAUGUCACUUAAAUCUUGUUGGUCAAAAGAAGUCUAUCUUGAUAUGACUCUUUUCUUCCUAUAACUAUAAAUAAGAGUUUCAUAAUUUAGAAAAGAGAAGAACAAUUCUGAUUCGUGGAUCAAAUGCCUCAGAUUUUUCUUCAAAAUCAAGCAUCCAACAUCAGUCGAAAUCAAGUCCAUCAAAUCUACAAAUCACGAUCCAAUUCAUCAAGAUCAAACCACAAUAUUCAAGAACAAGCUCAAAAAUGCUUGAAUUCAAGUAUAAAUCGAGAUCAAAUUCAUCAAAUACAAAAAACAAGUUCAAAUUCAAGAUUAAGCUCAAAAUCUUUGAAUUUAUAUUUAAAAAGAUGAAUCAGAAGAUGAAUAGAGAUUGUAACACUCGCAUAUUAAAAUUAAUAAAACAAUUAUCGGAUCUAUUCUUCAUCACACUGUUGGAACAAAACAAAAAUACCGAAUGCAACAAUAUUGAAAUAUUUGAUACAUGAAGCCACAAUCUGAUAGAUAUACAUUGAAAUCUACAAUCUACUUAAUAUAAUAUAGAUAUAGUUUCUAGAUAGAAAUAUAUAUAUAAUAUAGAUAAAAUUAAUCUUUAAUAUGGAAUCAAAGAAAUAUAAUAAUGGCUCUUAUGGUGUGACUUUAAAGAAAGGUUUAUUGCAAGGACGGUGAUAGUGAUGGUGGGGUGGGGGGUGAGCGGAAGCAGCAGGAGAAACAGAGAGUUUUUAGGUAUAUUGAAUUGAUGGUCAUCAAUGGAAUGACUAGAGAGAGCACCGGAUGGUUUUAAAGCAGGGAAAAGGAUGAUUUUUAUUAGUGUGAAAUUCCUACUCUACCCUUGAUCGUUCCUCACUUCAUCUUUUUAUAUAGUAAAAAUUUUCUCUCUUUAAAAUUUUAUUGCCCAACGAAUACACAUAUCCUUUCAGCUAAGCUUUUGCAUACAAUGGAUCAAGAUGAAAGAAUUUGGUUUAACUAUUAUUGAUUGACACAGAUUGAGCUAUUUCGGUUCGACGUAUUUAAAAUUUUUCCCUUAAUUAAAUUUUUUUUUUUUUUAAGACUUGGUCAAACCGGCUCUGUUCACCAAUUAAGGCGGUUGGCAGAUUAACAAUAUAAAAUUCCUUUUACACUGAUCUUGUUUGAAUAUUUACUAAUUCUAAAUUCUUCAUAUUAUUAUAUUCUCCAAACGAAAACAAAAAUAAAAGCAAAUUGAAAAAAAAAGAAGAGAAUAUUCGUCAACUUGUUGGAUUUCCAUAUCUGAAAGUUUCAAAUUGAAACCACAAAAUAAUGACACGUUUACAAUAUUGCCUCAUCCAACAAGACCACAUAUGAUAAAAUAAUAUCUAAGUCCUCAGACUCUGUAUUUUGUCUCACUGAACUUCUAUCCUUAUCCAUAAUUCAUUGCACAACUUUGUAAUAAGGGUGUGUUUGGAAUGAAUAGAGAUAAGUUCUUAUUUAUUUUUUGUAAAAAUGAUAUAUAAGCAAAAGAAUAUAGUAUUUUUUUAAUCUUUAUUUGACACAAUUUAUAUUUCAAAUUAGAUCUUCAUGUACUUAAACAUGAAAAUUUUAAAUUUUAUGGAUAACAUUUAUAUAAUUUAAAAAUUAUGUAAAAGAUCCUAAAAUUAUAAUAAUUGACAAUUUAAUAUAGUUAAAAGAUAUAUAAAAAAAAUCUGAUAGAAAAAAAUUUGCUUGAAACUAAAAAUUUGAAAGAUGCCAUAAAAAUUAGGAUAAACAAAAUAUUCUAAGAACAUUAUAUUCCUAGAUAAAAAUUAUAAAAUGUUGAUGAGAGGAUAGGGGUGAUGAGUGGAAGGAAUAGAGGCUAGAAGAUCGCCGAGGUGCAUUAGAUGAUGAGAAAAUAUAAUCAAGAUAAAGCAUCACUUGCGAAACUUAUUUUUCAUGUUUUUACUGAAAAUGUCAAUUUUCCUCAUUCAUAAUAAAUAUUUUUUAAUUUCUUUAUUAAUUUAACAUGAGGAAAUCAAAAAAUAUUUUUUGUUUUUCCCGUACCAAACGCACCCUAAAUGCACUUUUUAAAAUUGGCUUCCCUGUACAUAAACCCGACCAAAAAGAGUUGCUUACUCACCAAAAAAACAAAAAGCUCAUCUUAAAAUCUCCUAGUUACACCAAAAAAAAGAAGUUAACUUUUAAUUUUGAAUACCAAAAGUUUAUUAUUAUGGCUGAUAUUGCUAUGUUGGUAGCAGAAGAAUAUGAAAGGAGAAUCAAGAAUUCAAGAAAAUUUGGAGCUAAUAAUGUUGAUGGAGAACAAAUUGAAUUAUUUUCUACUUUCUCUAUUUUGGCUCAAGAGAUUAAAGGGUUUUCUAGUCGAAUAAAAAUGGCAUUUAAAGAAAAUGAGAAGAAGGAAAAUGUACCUCAGACUGAUGUUGCUCUUGCUGCAAUUAAUGGUUUGUUUUCUGCUUGAAGAGAAUAAAUCAGCAACUCUGGAUUAUUAUUAUUAUUAUUAUUAUUAUUUAUGUUGUUUUAUUUUCAUUUUGUUGAGUAGUUUGUCUAUUUUUGCCUUUUUUUUGUUUGGAGGAAUUUGUAUGUAGUAAAAUUGUAACGGAAUGUAAAAGGUUACAUUCAACUUUUUUGCAUGUAUUAUUUGUUUUGGCAUAAUAUUGUAGAGAUUUGUUCGGUUAAUCGUCAAGUUCAAAAGCAAAUCUUUGUUACAUUAUGAUUAAGUUCAAAUUAUGUGAACUUGUUUUGAACUUCUUUUUUAAUUUUUAUGUGUAGUUUGUCCAAAUGUAAUGUGCACUCUUUUAGGUUGUUUCGAUUGGACCAAAUAAUCCAAUGUAGUAUACAUGAAUUUGUUAGAAAAACUUUUUAUAAAAGGUCGGUGCAUGAAUUUUAUUGAAUACAAUUUUAUUUUAUAUUUCUGAAAUUUCACGAUUUCGAGCCAUAUAUCAACUUUUUUCUAUAACUAUUCAAAAAUGUUGUUGAUUCGAAAUUCAGUCCUAAACUUUGGAUGUCAAAUAGCAUAAAAAGAAGGUUUAAUUUAAGUUUAAAGCUUGAGAAGGAACAUUAUUCCCAAUUGUUCCAUGUGUGAUGUGUGUUGUAUUUUUUUAAAGGGGAAGCACAGCCUUUGCUAACACCCUGUUUUAAUGUCAAAGCGCGUUAGCUUCCGAGAGACUCCGUUAAAAUUAACGCUCCCUGUUAAAAUCGCUUUACUUAUUUAGUAGUUGAGUAUAUGAAAAUAGUGGUCAUUUAACUUUAUAUUUUUUAUUUAAAAGUUAUUAUUUUUUAUUUGUUACACAAAAAUUAUUUAAUGUUGCCUCAUCUUUUAUAAAAGUCAUUUUGAUAAAAUUUGAUUAAAAUAUUAUUUAAAAUUUGAGAUAAAAUAAAAAUUAAUUUCUUAUGUUUGAGGGUAGGUUUAAAAUGACUCUUCUAAGCAGUUUUGAUCUAUUGUAUUAAUAAUAAAAAUGAGCCUUUUUAUUUUCAUGUGUUUGACAAACUCCAUCAACUAAAUUAAUGAUAUUGGACAAAAGUAAACUUAAAACAAAAAUCUUAAAAUCUAUUUAUCACAAAUGUGAAAUAAUUACAUUUUUAUUUACUUACUCUUUUAUGAAUAUACUAUUUUGUUUGAUUGAUUUGUAGACAUCUUUUUUUGCUUUUGCAACAUAUUAUUUUGUUCAUAUCAUCAGUACACCUAUUAAAUAAAUAGAUAAGAUUUUUCAAUUAUUUUAUAAUAGUUUCUAUGGAUAUUAUUUUCAAUACACUGACAAUGCGAAGUAAUCCAUAAUAAUUUUUUAGUAAAUAGAGUUAGUAAAAGAAAUAAAAAAUAAAAUAAUAUUAUUUAUUAUGAAAUUAAAAAAAUAAUUUUUUUGGAUAAUAGAUAUUUUGGAGGGACUGGGGUCGGAGUCAAAAGAUUUGUUGAAAAUUGAUAAUGGUGGCACAAUGAAAAUUUUAAAAAUUUAUAAACGUAUUCUACUUCUUGAUAUUUUAGUUAUUUCAUAAAAAUAAUUAAUUUCAAGUUUACAGUUUUGUAUAGUGAUAAAUACUUUAAAAGAAUUGUUACAAAAAAAUCAAAACAAUCAAAGUAAGUGUGGUGUUAUAUGUAACUUGAGAGAUCAACGUUCUAAACUUAACUUGUGAAGGGGUCUAUGAAAUUAUUCUACAAAUAAAUAAAUAAAUCCAGCAAGCUACACCAAAUUCUGCAAUAAAUUUUUUUUUUUUUUUUACAAAUAAUAAACCUCUAAAUGUGACUCAAUACUAAAUUCUUUGUUUUAGAGUUUUGUAAAAUUUAACAAUUAGAGUUUGUUAAAUAUUUUAUAAAGGUCAAAUGUACGCACAUUAUAGCAAGCUUAAAAUACCAAACUUGUCAAACAUAUAUUUGAGGGGUCAUUUUGAAACUACCGUCAAACAUAAGAGAUCUUUUUUAAUUUCAUCUCACAAUUUAAAUAGGAUUUUUUUUUUUUGCUUAAGUGACUUUUGUGAAAGAUGAGGUAAAGUUUAAUAACUUUGUGUAACAAAGUAAAGAAUAAUAAUUUUUGGAUAAUGAACAUAAAACUGGAUGAUCACCCAUGAAAUUUACUCUUUAGUAUCAUAUGAGACAUUUUGUUAUGAACCAAGUUGAGUUCGUAAGGGCCUAUAGGCGAGAAAUGGUUAAUGAAAUUGAUUCAACUAAGAUAAGUGAGUCAACCAAAAUAUUAAAGAGUUUUAUACGAGAUUCAAGUCUCAUUAGAAAUUGGUUUAAAAGGACCACUGAUUAAAAAUAAUAGUUUUAUGUGAUACGUGCUUAGACAAAGCUUGUAUUUUUGUCUCCUAUUUUAAUACCUGCUUCUCGUUUCCUUCUAGUUAUCCUUUUACGGUUUCCUAAUUUCUCAGUUACUUGAUUUUCUUUAUUUUGUUAGCACAUAUAUCUUGUUAAGUGAUUAUUGUAGAAGCAAUUGAUGCAAAUGGUGUGUAAAUAUAAUUUAUCUAACCUAGUGUAACUAGUGAGCUAUGUGUAAUUAGUUAUUACUGAUUAGUUAGUUAGAUUAGGUGAAAGAUUUGUUAGAAUGUAGACGGUUAGUGAUCUAUAUAUAGAUCUUGUAGCUUACAGAGUAAGUAUACCGUUUCAUUAGCUCAAAUGUGAGAAUAGAUAUUUCUCAGCUUCUUUUUCAUUCUCUCUAAGUUUCAACCUCUUAAUAUUUUCAUAACAGAGUUCUUCAACAUUAUAUAUCCGAGCAGCCAAGUUUAUGCCUCAAUACACUUAGCUUGUGGAAGUAAAUUGUUCUCAGUAGAAGAAAAAGAUGUUCAGGUUAAAGCAAUUUUGGUUUCAGUCAGUACCACAAACGUAAAAUCCUCCAAAUUGAUUACAACUUCUGCAUUUUUUAGAAGGAAUUGAUCGUGCUUCUCUACAUCAAAAGAUUUUUUAGUUCAAUUGAGCCAUUGCAUAUGAAGAAAUCCAGUAGGUUUUUACCAAACAUAAUCAACGGCACACAACGAUGAUUGUACAUUGGAGCUACUAGUCAAUAUCAACCUCAGAAUACUCAGAAUUCACAGUCAAGCACAAAAAUUCAUCACAAUCAUCCCCUCUGCAUUCAUCCUUCAGAUACUCAAGGUUUGAUACUCAUCUCUGUACAACUUUAAGGCUUUGAAAAUUACUCAUCGUGUAGUAAAUCCUUAAAGAUAGUUCUACUUGGAAAAAAUGAAUAAGGAUUUGUGUUAGGAACUUGCCGUAAGGAACAUUUUGAUCCUAAUUUGCAUAAAUUAUGGGAUAAAUGUAAUGCUAUUGUAUUAUUUUAGAUUAUGAACACCAUGUCUAAGGAUUUGGUAAGCACUGUUAUCUACAUAACGAAUGCUCAUAGUGUACGGGAGGAUCUUAGAGAAAGGUUUGAUUAAGUGGAUACAUCUAGGGCAUUUUUUAUGGACAAGGAAAUAACAACUCUAACAUAGGAUGUUUCUUUUAUGUCUGUCUAUUUCUCGAGAUUGAUAGAGUUGUGGGAUAAACUUGGAGCCUUAAUUCCACCUCCUUCAUGUCCUUGCCUUGAAUCCAAGCAGUAUAGAGAACAUUUUCAGCUACAUGGAUUGUCGUAAUUUCUCAUGGUCUUAAAUGAAUCUUUCGACAAUUCGAGAAGUUAGAUUCUAAAUAUAGUAUCUCUACUAGCAUUAAUCAGGCAUAUGAUAUGAUUAUUAAUGUUGAAAUUCAGAGGAAAAAUGUGAUGAUUGAGAAAGUAGUGACUCAAAUGAUCUUAUGACUAAAAAUCCUUAUAAUCAUGGAAGUAGUAGUAGCUCAUUCAGUUCAAGUACUGGUUAUAGUGGUGGAUCCAGUGUUUCUAGUCACAAUGGCCACAGUAGUGGUUUUAGUAAUCAGAACAUUAGUUCAAACCAUAAUGGUGGCUUCAGACCUAGGAGUAACUAUGGAAAAUCUGAUAUGCUUUAUGAGUAUUAUAAGUUCAAAGGCCAUACCAAGGAUGCAUGUUAUAAACUGCAUGGAUAUCCAGCAGAUUACUAGUUUAAAAAGAAAGGAGAAAAUUCUACUGGUUGUGUCAAUAAUGUCAUCUAUUCAGGAUGAAUCUUUUUAGAUGAUGCAGGACACUUGUCAUAUCCUACUCAUCAGAUGCCUUCUCAAUAUAGUUUCACUACCUCUGAAGAUGCUCUAGCUUUCACACAUGAACAACAUGCUCAGUUGAUUCGAUUGUUAGAGAAGAGAAAAUGAAAAGAAUGUAAUGUGGUAUCCAAUGUCGCUAAGAUUAAUUCCUCAGGAAUAUCAGGUACUACAUGUACUAUUUCUGCCCUUAUGUCUUAUCUAGUUGCAAAUAACUGGAUUAUUUACACUGAUGCAUCAAAUCAUAUGGUGCAUAAUGUGAAUCUUCUUGACAAAUUAGAGAAACUAACAAGCUUGAAGAAAAACACUAUCCAAUUACCUAUAGGAGAUCAAGUAGCUACUAGUCAUAAGAGAGAGGCUUUAAUUUUACAAGGGAGGAAAAUACAAAAUGUUCUCUAUCUUCCUUGAUUUAAGUACAAUCUACUUUCAGUAUCCAAAAUUGCCAAGGAACUAGAUUGCAUGGUUGGUUUCUUUCCUAAUUUUUUUUUGUUUUAGGAACUCUCAAGUGGAAAAGUGAUAGGGAUUGGUAAAGAGGAGAAAAGACCUUACACUUAAAGACUGAUUGUAAAAAUAAAAGGAGAUCAUCUCAGUUCUGUCCCAGAGUAAAUCUGCAUUGAUCAAACAACUAGUACUUCCCCAACAAUAUUUCAAGUCCAACAAUGUACAUAUAAUUCCUAGUAUAAUCAAUAAUCCUAUGUGUAAUAAUAGCCUCCUAUGGCAUAGAAGGUUAGGUCAUAUUCCUCUUUGAGAGUUCUAAAAAAUAUUGCAGGCUUACAAAAUAUGCAUCUAACUGAUCAUGUGUUUAUUGUUUGUCCCAUUGCUAAACAAACUAGACUUUCAUUUCCUACUAGCCGCACUGUCUCAUCUUGUGCAUUUGAUCUAAUUUAUACUGAUGUACGGGGACUAUGUAGAGUGCCUACUAAUAAUGGUAAAAGAUACUUUCUGACAUUGGUGAAUCAUUUUUCUAGAUUAAUCUGGCUUUUCUUACCUAAUAAUAAAUCAGAUGUGGUUGUGGUGUUGAGAAAUUUUGUGCAAACUGUACAAAUCAAUUUCAUGCUAAUGUUUGUGUUUUAGAUAUGACAAUAGGACUGAGUUUCACAAUACUCAACUCAGGACUUUGUUUAGAGACAAAGGAGUUGAGAAUCUAAGGUCUUGUACUUAUACUCCCUAACAGAAUAGGGUGGUUGAAAGAAAACAUAAGUCCAUCUUGGAUAUGGCUAGAGCAAUGAGAUUUCAGGAUGGUAUACCUGUACAAUUUUGGGGUGAAUAUGUAUUUACAACUGUGUACCUACUAAACAAACUACCCACAUCUUUAUUGCAUGGUCUUUCUCCUUUUGAAAAAUUGCACUCCAGGGUACCGUUUCUGCAACAUAUCAAAGUUUUUGGUAGUUUAUAUUUUGCAACCGUCCCUACAAAGUUUAAAAAAUUUGGUCAUAGAGCCAUUCCUUUAUUACAUCUUGUUUAUUCUUCUACUCAUAAUGGUUAUAUAAUCUAUGAUAUAUGUUUUAAGAUGUUCUUUAUCAGUAGAGAUACUAUUUUUCAGGAAAAUAUUUUUCCCUUUAAACAAUUAUCUUCAAUUUCUUCUCCUCUCUUUCCUAUUUUGCACUUGUGUACUGAUGAUUAUACUUUCUCUUCUUCACCUGCAUCUAUUUCUACCCUUUUUGAGUCUACUCUACCCACUCACAUUUUUUAUUCUAUAGAGGUAUCAUCUAUUUCUCUACCUGUUUUUGUUUCGGCACCUAGGAAAUCUUUUAAAAUUUCUAAACCACAUGUCUGGAUGUCUGAUUAUGUUGUUACCUCUAAAUCUUCUAAUUGUGUCUAUCCUCUUAGCAACUAUGUUUCUUAUAGCCAUCUUCAGCCUUCUUAUCAGACUUUAUUUGCUGUUUUUCUUUGUAUUCUUGAACCUAAAUCCUAUCCGAAGCCUGUAAGAAUCCUCUUAAGGUUGAAGCUAUGAAAUCUAAAUUUUCAGCUCCUGUGGCUAAUAAGACUUGGUCUAUUGUUCACUUUCCACUUGGAAUGGUUCCUAUUAGAUGCAAGUGGGUGUUCAAAACUAAGUAUCACACUUCAAGUGAGGUAGAAAGGAAUAAAUCUAGGUUUGUUGCCAAAGGCUAUUCUUAACAAGAAGGUCUUGAUUUUACUGAGACUUUCUCUCUAGUUGCAAAAAUGGUUACUGUAAGAGCAAUUAUUACCUUAGUUUCUUUAGCAAAUUUGUUUAUAUUUUAAUGGAUGUUCACAAAGCAGUUCUUCAACGUAAUUUUCUUGAAUAUGUGUAUAUGCAGGUUCCUGAAGGAUUUUUAAGCCAAGGGGAGUAUUCAGGUGUUGGUGUUGGAGUGUGUAAACUUCACAAGUCCUUGUAUAGCUUGAAACAAGCCCCUAGAUAGUGGAACCUGAAGUUUACUAAGAAACUUAUUGUUGUGUGCUUCACUCAGUCCCACUAUGAUUAUUCUCUGUUACUCAGGUUAUGAACGAAACUUUGAUUAUAGUCCUAGUGUACGUUGAUGAUCUCCUAGUAAUAGGAAGCAGCUUAAGUUACAUUCAAAAGAUGAGAAAUGAUCUACAGUCCAAGUUUAAAACGAAAGACUUAGGUGAACAUAAGUACUUUCUUGGCAUUGAAUUUUCUAGAAGUGAGAAAGGAAUUCAUAUGUGUCAAAUAUAGUAUGCCUUGGAGCUAGUUUAGAGAUGGGAUUAGCAGGAAGUAAACCUGCAGGCACUCCACUUGAGUUCAAUCAAAAGUUAACAUCAGUUGAGUAUGACAAAGCAGUUAACCCUAAAAAUUUGUCUUGUGAUAAACUACUUAAAGAUAAAAGCAUGUAUCAAGAACAGUUGGGAGGCUUAUAUAAUUUGACUAUGACAAGACUAGAUUUGUAUUUUGUGGUUCAAGCCUUAAGUUAGCAUCUUCAUGAUCCCAAACAAAGUCAUAUGGAUGCAACUAUUAGAGUAAUCAGGUUCAUCAAAGGAACUUUAAGUCUUGGACUUCUUAUGCUUGCUAAUGGUAACGUGAAGCUUACAACUUGUUGUGAUUUAGACUGGGGUUCUUGUGUUGAAUAACUAGCUAUGUGAUCAAGCUAAGAGAAGCAAUUAUAUAAUGAAAGUCUAAGAAAUAACAGACAGUUUUCAAAAGUUCUGCAGAGUCUGAGUUUAGAAGCAUGGCAACUACUGUAGCUGAGAUAAUUUGGUUAACUGGUUUAUUGAAAGAACUAGAGCUGUCAAAUGGGCUGGCCCAACCCAAUCCAACCCUACCGGGUUAGAGAAUUAAAUAGGUUAGGACGGGCUAGCCCUUUUAACUAAAGGGUUUUUAAAAUAAUGACCCAACCCAGGCCUAAGUGGGCCGCGGGUUGGGAUGGGUUUGACCUUUAGAUAAAAUAAAAGCAACCCAAAAUAUGAUAAAUAAAAAUAUUGUAAGUACUAGACAAUUACUAACUUUUAUGGUUUCACUUUAAUAUGUCUCCUACUAGUUUUAGCAUGUUAUAGGCAUCUUACUAAUAAAUUUAGGGGUCGUUUGGUUGGAAAAGAGUUAUCCCAAAAUAAUUAAUCUUGAAAUUAGUUAUUCCACCAUGUAUAUGGGAUAAUUUAUCUCAUCAUUAUGAUAUAAAUAGUGCGAUAAAUAAGGUUGGUACUAGCUAAUACCUCACACCAAACAUGAGAUAAAAUAGUCCUUAAUUUUAUAACGGACUAUUUAUCCCUUAUACCUCAUACCAAACGAUCCCUCAGUUGUAAUUAGCUCAUGGCAUUUACUAUAAUAAGUAAAGAAAUGAUGAUUAGCUAAAAAUUUCAUAGGAAAAUUCUAAUGUGGUUAAGAUAAUAAAUACAGAUAUAAAUAAAGUAUCUACCAAAAAGCAGCAAGACUAUAAUAGAAGAGAGUCUAAAUUUAAAUAACAGAAUGUUGCAUUAAGCAAAGUCAACAACUACUAAACCAUCACGAGUAAAAGCAACUUCUUGAAGUUCACAACUAAAAGCAGCUUACUAGCCAUUUCAAACAUACACUAAGAAAUUUUAAAAAAUUAGUAUUAACCUAAGGAUGGAUAAAAAAAAUCAGCUAGUUAGAAAAGAUUGACAAAAUCCUAAUUCCUAAUAAAUAAUGACCAACUUAAAAAUAUUUACUAAUUAUUUUUAAUGUCCCAGCCUACAGGUUGGCCUCUGAGGUUGAUGGGCCAAGUGAGGCUAGGCUUAUAAUCCUCGUUUCUAAAUGGGAUGAAAAAAAUUAGCCAACUCCACUUAAUUAAAGGGUUGGGCCAGCCUUACGAGCCAAACCAAUUUUGAUAGCUCUAGAAAGAACUAACAAUUGAUAUUGAAAAGCUUGUGAUUUUAUUUUGUAACAAUAAGGCUGCUACAUAGAUUGCAAUCUAUCCUAUUGUCUAUGAGAGAACUGAACAUUUUGGCAUUGAUUGCCAUUUUGUCAGAGAGAAUAUUCAAGACAAACUCAUUACAAUUCAACAUAUUGGUAUAAGAGAGCAGAUGACAGAUCUUCUAACUAAAGUUUAUGCAAGCCUUAACAUGAUUAUUUGGUUAAUAAGAUAGGAAGGAAAACUUGUUUUCAUCCAUUAGCUUGAGGGGGAGUGUAGAAACAUAAGAGGAAAAUGGUGAGUAAAUAUAAUUUAUCUAACCUGUUGUAAUUAGUGAGCUAUGUGUAAUUAGUUAUAAUUGAUUAGUCAGCUAGAUUAGGUGAAAGACAUGUCAGAGUGUAGAUAGUUAGUGGUCUAUAUACAGACCUGAUAGCUUACAGAGUAAUCAUACUAUUUGAUUAUCUGUAAGACCCCAUAAAAUCCUAGUCGUUUCAGUCCUUUAUAGCAUGCCAAAAGAGGUCUCAGAUUUAGAAAAAAAAUUUAGCCAAGUGUUAAGGCUUAGAAGCAUUUUUUUAGCCUUCAAAAUUGGAUGAUCUUGUUUUUAAUCCUUCCAACUUUAGAAUGUCAAUUUUCAAGUUGAUUCAUGACCAGGGAUGUCAAAAGGUCAUAUUGGGUGAGUGUUGGAAUUUUUGAAUUUCAUUUGGGUCAUGUUUGGAUGGGCAAAAUAGCAAGCUAAUGUGAUCUUGACGCGUCGCAUUGGCUACAACAUUGCACCCAUCGAUGCGAUGCGUUGCAAAUUCCAUCACUGGGCAGUUUUUGCGCAUUAAAUUUCAAAUUUCCAAGGGCAUUUAAGUCCUUUUUCCCUUACCCGAUUCAGCUAAAACACGAGAUUUAAUAUCCUAAAGGGAUAAAUACACUAAUUAUUCUCAAAAUCCUCUCAAGAAAAAGCCCUAGUUUCAUUAAGCUCAAGAAUCAAGUCUCAAGAACUCACCCCAAUAUUCACAAAAUUAACAAUCAAGGUAUGUUAGAUGUUCAUCUUUGGAUUUCCUUCUACCCUUGGAGUUCAAGAACCCUUUUUAAAACUACAAGUUUAAUGAUUUAUGAUUUAUAUGUACAAUUUGGGUUGUAUUCAUGUUUGUGUUUUUGUAUGGGUUUCAAUUCAAGAUUUAAUUACAAGUUUCAUGAACAUAAGAUAGAAUGUAUAUUGAUUGAUGUUAUGUGCUAACAAACCCUCCUUGUAAGAAAUGUGGCAGAAACCAUCAGGGUAUCUGCAGGGCUGGCAACGAUGUAUGGUUUGGAUGUGGCAAGCCAUGCCAUAGGAUUAGAGAGUAUCCUCAAGUGUGUUUGCAGAGUCAGCAUAGUCGUCCUCUAGCUCAAUCCGGUCGCCCGUCUCAGUAGGGUGCUGCCUCCAGUGCCACCAGUUGGCAACACCCAAACAGGCUCUAUGGACUUCAGUCUCGAUAGGAUUAGAAAAUUUCUCCUAAUGUGGUCACUUGUAUGUUACAAGUUUACUAUUUACAUGUUUAUGCUUUGCUAGAUCUAGGAGCUUCUUUGUUCUAUGUAACUCCUUAUAUAGCUGUUGACUUCGGAGUCAGUCCUGAAAUCCUAGCAGAGCCCUUCUCAGUCUCCACCCUAGUGGGUAAGUCUAUCAUAGCCCGAUGGGUAUACAGGAACUGCCCGAUUAUGGUAUCUCUGAAAGUUACUUUAGCAGACUUAGUAAAGUUAGAGAUGACAGAUUUUGGCAUCAUUCUCGGCAUGGAUUGUCUCCAUUCAUGCUAUGCCUCAGUUUAUUGUAGAAAUAAAGUUGUUCAUUUUCAAUUCCUGAAUGAAUCUGUCCUAGAAUGGAGGGGUAGUACUUCAACACUUAGGGGUCAGCUUAUUUCAUACUUUAGAGCGAGAAAGAUGAUAUCCAAGGGGUGUGUCUAUAAUAUCAUUAGAGUUAAAUAUUCUAGUUUCAAGAAUCCUAACCUUGAGCCAAUUCCAGUAGCAAGUGAGUUUUAGAUGUGUUUUUUGAGGAUCUUCUCGGAGUUUCUCCUGAAAGAGAAAUUGACUUCUGAAUAGACCAUCUUCCAGAUACUCACCCUAUCUCUAUUCUGCCAUACAAAAUGGUUCCAGUUGAACUUAAAGAAUUAAAAUAGCAGUUGAAGAGUCUCCUAGAUAAGGGAUUCAUUAGAUCUAGUGUCUUUCGUGCGGUGCACCAGUUCUAUUUAUACGUAACAAAGAUGGUUCUCUCAGAAUGUGUAUUGACGACCAUCAGUUGAACAAAGUCACAGUCAAGAACAAGUACCCACUUCCUAGAAUCAAUGACUUAUUUGACUAACUUCAGGGUGCCAGUUACUUUUCUAAGAUAGACUUUAGAUUAGGCUAUCAUCAGCUCAGAGUCAGAGAAUGUGAUAUUCCAAAAAUAGCUUUUAGAAUUUGGUAUGGUCAUUUUAAAUUCCUAGUUAUGUCAUUUGGUCUUACCAAUGCUCCAACAGCUUUUAUGAACUUGAUGAACCAUGUGUUCAAGCAAUACCUGGUCAUGUUCAUCAUGUUCUUCAUAGACCACAUUUUUGUCUACUUCCAUAGUGAAAAUAAUCACACAGACCAUCUCAGAAUAGUAUUACAGACCCUCAGAGCCCAUAAAUUAUUCUCCAAAUUUAGUAAAUACGAAUUUUGGCUAAGGUCAAUAGCUUUCCUUGGUCAUAUUAUUUUCGGUGAUGGCAUUAGAGUUGGUCCUUAAAAGACCAAAGCAGUGAGAAAAUGGCCCAGACCUAUCUCUCCAUUAGAUAUCAGGAGUUUCUUGGGUUUGGCUGGCUAUUACCGGCGGUUUUUUAAAGAAUUUUUGUUUAUUACAUCCCCCAUGUCCAUAUUAACUCAGAAUAAAGUCAAAUUCUAGUGAUUAAAUUCUUGUGAGAAGAAUUUUCAGGAGUUGAAGACUCGACUCACUACAACCCCAAUUUUGACAUUGCCCGACAGUUCAGAUGGGUUUGUUGCGUAUUGUGAUUCUUCCAGAGUUGGUUUGGGGUGUUUUUUAAUGCAGAAGGGUAAGGUUGUGGCCUAUGCCUCUAGACAACUUAAGUUCUAUGAAAAGAAUUAUCCCACCCAUGAUCUUGAGUUAGCAGCUGUUGUGUUUACCUUAAAGAUUUGGAGGCACUAUUUGUAUGGGGUGUAUGUAGAUGUGUUCACCGACCACAAAAUCCUUCAGUAUGUAUUUUAUCAGAAAGACUUGAACCUGCAUCAGAGGAGGUGGUUAGAGUUAUUGAAAUAUUAUGACAUGAGUAUCCUGUAUCACCCGGGAAUGGCCAAUGUAGUGGAAGAUGCUUUCAGUAGGGUGUCCAUAGCUAGUGUUUCUCACGUUGAGGAUGGUAAGAAGAAGUUAGUUUAGGAAGUUCAUCAGCUUGCCAGUUUAGGUGUCCAUUUGGUUGAUUCGGCCGAGGGUAGUGUUUGGUGCAGAAUAGUUUAGAAUUAUCUUUGGUUUCCGAAGUAAAAGAAAAACAGGAUAGAGAUUCUAGUUUAGUUAAGCUGAAAGAGUCGGUCAGAGACCAGAAAGUAGAGGUUUUCUCCCAAGAGGUAGAUGGUGUAUUGCAUAGCCAGGGUAGAUUAUGUGUGUCAUGUGUGGAUGACGUAAGAUAGCGAAUUAUUGCAGAAGCAUAUUGUGUGCGUUAUUUGAUUCAUCCAGGCACCACUAAGAUGUACCACGACUUGCAGGAAUUCUAUUGGUGAAGUGGGAUGAAGAGAGACAUUGCAGAGUUUGUGGCUAAGUUCUCUACAUGUCAACAUGUGAAGAUUGAGCACCAAAAGCCUAGUGGGUCUAUGUAGGAGUUUCGUAUUCCCACUUGAAAGUGGGAGAAAAUGAACAUAGACUUUUUGAUGGGUUUUCCUCGUACUCAUCGUUAGCAUGAUUCGAUUUGGGUUAUUGUGGACAGGAUAACUAAAUCAGCCCAUUUUUUGCCAGUUCAUACCUCUUAAUCAGCCGGGGAUUAUGCCAGGCUCUAUAUCAGAGAGUUGGUCAGGUUGCAUGGUGUUCCAUUGCCCAUCAUUUUAGUCAGAGGUACACAGUUUACUUUUAAUUUUUGGAAAGCCUUCAAAAAGGGUCUUGGUACCCAAGUUCACUUAGUACAACCUUUCACCCUCAGACAAAUGGUCAAGGAGAAAAGACCAUUCAGACUUUAAAAGAUAUUUUGAGAGCAUGUGUUGUUGACUUGAAGGGUAGUUGGGAUGGCCACUUACCCUUGAUUGAGUUCGUGUAUAAUAAUAACUAUCAUUCCAGUAUUUAGAUGGCUUUAUUUGAGGCUUUUUAUGAGAGGAGAUGUAGAUCUCUCAUUGGUUGGUUUGAAGUAGGUGAGGUCAUAGUAGCAGGGCCUGACUUGGUGUUUGAUGCCUUAGAAAAAGUGCAGUUAAUCAGAGAGAGGCUUAAGACAGCUCAGAGCCAAUAGAAAUCGUAUGCUGAUUUGAGAAGAAAAGAUCUUAAGUUUGAGAAUGGAAACUUUGUGUAUUUGAAAAUUUCUACCUUGAAGGAAGUAAAGAGAUUUGGCAAGAAGAAGAAGCUUAGUCCUUGAUAUAUUGGUCUUUAUAGGAUUCUCAGUAAUUUCGAUAAGGUAGCUUAUGAGCUUGAGUUACCUGCAGACUUAGCAUCAGUGCAUCCAGUGUUUCAUGUCUCCUUGCUAAAGAAGUGCAUUGGUGACCCAACAGUUGUAGUCCCUAUAGAGAGUGUAGAUAUUCAGAGCAGUCUCUCUUAUGAGGAAAUCCCAUCCGAAAUCCUUGAUUGUCAGAUUUGUAGACUAAGGAACUAGGAAGUUUCUUUGGACAAAGUUCUUUGACAGAAUUAGUCCAUUGAGGGAGCUACUUGGGAAGAAGAAGCAGACAUACGAACCAAGUAUCCUUAACUCUUCUCCGCAAACUCAAACUCAGCCUAAGGUAACAGUCUUCCUUAGAUUUACUCUAUUCCAUGUUCAGUUAUAGCUGCAUAAUAUUCUCAUAUCAUUUAUGUAUUCAUGAAAUAGUUCAGUCAUGUGUCAUAUCUUUUGAAUUCAGUUAUGCUUCAAUUAUGUAUGUCAGUGUAAGUAUAGUUCCUCAGUACCCCUUAGUUCAGUCAGUCUCAUUCGAGGAAAAAUGUUUCCAAGGGGAAGAUAUUGUAAGACCCCACAAAAUUCUAGUCGUUUUAUUCCUUUAUGGCAUGCCAAAAGAGGUCCCAGACUUAGAAAAAAAAUUCAGCCAAGUGUUAAGGCUUAGAAGCAUUUUUUUAGCCUUCAAAAUUGGAUGAUCUUAUUUUUGAUCCUUCUGACCUUAGAAUGUUGAUUUUCAAGUUGAUUCAUGAUUAGGGAUGUCAAUAGAUAAUAUUAGGUGAGUUUCAGAAUUUUUGGAUUUUAUUUGGGUCAUGUUUGGAUGGGCAAAUCAACAAGCCAACACGAUCUUGACGCAGCGCGUUGGCUACUGCAUUGUACCCAUCAACAUGAUGCAUUAAGGAUCGAUGCAGUGCAUCUCAAAUCACAUCACUGGGAAGUUUUGUGCGUUAAAUUUUGAGUUUUCAAGGGCAUUUAAGUCCUUUUCCCCUUACCCAAUUUAGCUAAAACACGAGAUUUAAUAUCCUAAAGGGCUAAAUACACUCAUUAUUCUCAAAAUCCUCUCACGAACAAGACCUAGUUUCAUUAAGCUCAAGAAUCAAGUCUUAAGAACUCACCCCAAUCUUCAUGAAAUUAACAAUCAAGGUAUGUUAGGUGUUCAUCCUUGGGUUUCCUUCCACCCUUGGAGCUCAAGAACCCUUUUUAAAACUACAAGUUUAAUAAUUUAUAAUUUACAUGUGUAAUUUGAGUUGUAUUCAGUUUGUAUUGUUGUAUGGGUUUCAAUUCAAGAUUUAAUUACAAGUUUCAUGAACAUAAGAUAACAUGUAUGUUGAUUGAUGUAAUUCCCAUGUUACAACCCUUUGAAUUUGCAAGUUGUAUGUUGUAGUAUGAUGCCCUAUAUGUUAUUCUUCAUAUACCAUAAUUAUGCUCCCUAAGUGUUUGAUAGAAUGUCCAUGUGAAUUGAAUAGUGUAUUCAUGACAUGUUAUCCUGUGUUUUCAUUCAUGUACAAGUUCAUGACUUCCAAGUAUUUGAUAAAUUUGCCUUUUGGAUGAAUUGUGAGCAAUUGACUAUUGCUAUGCUGACAAGAUUUAUCAUGAUUAAUUACCAUGCUAUCGAAUCCUGGGGGUAUUUAUCUAACUGUUUACUUAGUUUCAGUAGUUAUAGAAUAGUCCCAAUAAAGGUUAAGAAUAGUAGUACUCAGUCAGUAAUAGAAUUCAGGGAACUCAACCGAGUUCAGUCAGUCAAUACGAUCAAUGUCAGUUCAGUCAAGCUUAGUACAAUCUAGUGAUCAGUGUCUAUUCAGUUGGGAGUAGCAUUCAACACCAAGCAAAACCAAGAAUGGGGGCAUCCCUGCCAGCAGAGGUUUUGAACCUUAGUAGCAGUCCCUACAUUAUAGAACUACGUAGCUAGCAUAGGGUAAGAUGCCCUCCUUCCAGACUAGGGUUGACGCAAUCAUAUAUAUAUAUAUAUUUCAUAUGUCUUCCUGAUAGAUUAGGGUUGACACAACAUUGUUAGUAUCCCUUGGCAAAGUGCUAACACCCUUCUAACUGGGUUCACAGGUUGGAACCCAACCCAUUUUAUAACUGGGGUAUGUAGGUUAGAUGAACACUUGCACAGUUACAGUUUCAGUCUAAGUAUUUAGUAAAGAAAUCAGAUAGUUCUACUGAACUAUGACUAUCAAUUAUCAGUUACUUAGCCAUUAGAAAUUAGUACUUCAGUAUCAGUCUAAACUUUCAGUUAUCAGUAUUCAGUUAUCAAAACUCAGUACUUCAGUUUCAGUCUAAUUCAGAUAUACGUUAUGUGCACAGUAGUUAUAAUUUUACAUGUACUCUUAUUUAGUUAUUUCAUGAUGUUCAUUCAGUCAGUUAUCAUCUCAUGCAUAUGAACCCAUGUAUAUCAGCCUACCUCAGUUAGCAUACUAGUACAUUUGACGUACUAACGUAUACUCUUUCUUUGUGCUAUGAUGUUGCAUAUUAUAGGUUCGGACGCUCAGGGUCCUGAUCAUACUUAGUAGUUUAGGCUAUCAGCAGUAGAUACAGUGGUGAGUCCUCAUAUUUCAAGGACAUAGUUUAUUUAUAUCAAUAUUUCAGUUAGCUCAGUAGUUAUUUUAGUCAGAGUCAGUUGGGGGUUUGUCCCAUCAACUCCAUAUUCAGACAGUUAGAGGCUUUCGGACUAGCGCAUUCAGUUUUUGUUUUUUUCAGAUGUUAUUAUUAGUACAUUCAGUAUUUAUUUCAAUAUUUUGAGAACCUUAUGGCAUAUUCAGUUAUACUUCCACAUAUAUUUUCAGUAUUAUUAUUCAGUCCUCACAGCAGGUACCAGUCAUGGGUUAGCUUGUGAUCCUUCUGGGUUGUAAGCACCGUGUGACGUCCAGAGUGCAGACUCAAGGCAUUAUAUUAGCUCAAAUGUGAGAGUAGAUAUUUCUCAGCUUCUUCUGCAUUCUCUAUGAGUUUCAAUCUCUUAGUGUUUCCAUAACUAAGUUCUUUAACAAUUAUAAUAUACAUCAAUAUUUGUGUUUAGAUAGGUUUAUUUCACAUUUGAAUAGAAUUGUACUCCUGUUUUGAUUAAUCACAUACAUCGUGUUCAAGAAAUCACCUUGAGUCGAACUAAAUUAGAAAUCACCUUAAAAACUGUUCGUAAUAGGCAUACUAUUAAUGUUUGUAUUUUAUCUUUUGUUCAAGUAUCUUUGUUGUCCCUUGUCAAUUAUUUUUCUUUAUGUAUCAUUAAAGAAGUACUAAUGGCGUAUCUUACUAAUGUAUCCCUCGCAUAGCUACGUAUAGCAAUAUAAGUAAAGGCAUAAAUAACACUCAUAUAGCCAAUUUUUAAAGAAGCCUUGGAGUUGUUGGAGUUUCAUAUCAGUGGCUUAAAGGGUCAUUGGUCUCCUUAAAUGGUAUUGGAAAAUCCUCCCCUCAUGAGCUAGAUUUUGGGGUAAGUUAGGCCCAAGGUCCAUUUCUUUAUCAUAGUAUUAGAGUUAGGUUCACUCAAUUCAUGGUUUUCGAUGUUGGUCCCCCAUCUUAUAUUGUCCGCAUUUCAAAUGUCUAGUUCUGGACAUGCGAGGGGUUGCUGGAGUCCUACAUCGGUGGGUUAAAAGGUCCUUGGUCUCCUUAUAUGGUCUUGGGCAAGUUAGGCCCAAGGUCCUUUUCUAUAUUAGGAUUAACCGGUAAAGUUGUUGUCAUAUGAUUAGAACGUCAUGGGGUCAAGCCAAGGAAAUAGCCCAUCACAGAAAUCUAAGGUGAGGUUGCAUACCAUAGUUCGCCAAUAACAAAUGCUUUAGUACAUCGGGCCGUCCUUAGAUAGCCAAUUUAAAGGCACCAUAACUUAUUUAAAUUUAAAUGCUAUGUAGAAUUUAAUCUAGUUUUGUAAACUUUAGAUCAGUCUUUGACAUCUUCUUCAUUCGGGCUUGAAGUUUUGUAUUAUCAUAUCAAAAUCCAAAAACCUAAAUUUAAAAAGUAAUUUCAGUUUUUGAAGGGUAAAAGCUAACUUGAAACUUCAUACACAAGGUCCAAAAUUUAGCUUUUGGGAUAGUCAUUUAAAAAUAACCAUUUUUCAAUAUAUUUUAGUGUGGUUAAAUUUUAAAUAUCAGUCUUAAAAAUAGCUAGCCCACCCAAUUUUCACCUCUUUAAUGGGCUCGUCGUUAACAAGUGCCUAAACAAAUGCAAAUCCAAAUUUUCUGAGCCUAUUUCGCUCAUUAAUUAAGUGGAAUGAUUAUUUAGGGAAAAAAACAAGUGAAAAUUAUCUUGUAUAAAAUUAGGAAAAAUUACUUAUAACUACAACCUAAGUUUUUAUUGUUACAUAAAAUCCCAACUACCAAAAGUAAUUACAAAAAUCCCUUUUUGAUACACUCUUUAUCCAUAUCUCACCUACUCUUUUUUACGCUUAAUGCUCCUAAAAAAAUUCCUAAAAUCAAGGAAUCUCAAUCAAGCGAUUUUCAAAUUUUGAAUUUACAAACGUGUUCUUCUCAAAUUGCUUAAUAUCAACUUUUCAACAAAAAAGAACCACAACUUCCGCAACGGCACCCAUCACAUUGCCGACCAGUAUCCACCCAUUAACGAUAAUCAAUGAAGGCUUUACCAGUCACCGCUGCUCCACCAUCACCAGAGCACUAACUCAGCCCAUCAACCUUUCACCCUUCAAUACCAUGCCACUGACCCGUGCUCCGUCCAAGGCUGAUCCUAACGACUGCAAAAAUAUGGAGAAGUGUAUAUACUACAAUUAGGUAAAGCAUCAAGUUGCUGGAGAGAGGUCCACGACGUCCACUAGUCAGCUUCUUCAGCUUUCCUCUAUUUAAUAAUAACUACAACAGCAACAUACCCAGUGUAUUCUCACAUAGUGGGGUUUGGGAGGGUAAUGUUUACGCAGUCCAUACCACAACCUCAAAUAAAGUAGAGAGACUGAUUUUGAUAGAUCCUCGACUCAGGAUAGAUAACAGUAUAACAAACAUGAUCCUUGAUAGGAAGGUACAGAGGAUUCAUAUUAGGGUAGAGGCCUCCUUCUCCAAUUUAACUCAAAUUUUCCAUAAAUAAUUUACACACACACUACAAUCUACCAUCUUAUUAGCUUGCUAACUGAUCAUACAUCUACUUAUACGCAUAACCAUUAAAAUUAAAUUAUCAUCUAGUAAAUUCAUGUACCUCAAAAAUGAAAAGAACAAACAAGUACCCUUUCACUCACUAUAGACAACAACAACAACAUACCCGAUAUAAUCUCAUUAGUGAAUCUACGUAGGAUAGAGUGUACGCAAACUUUACCACCUUGCCAGUAUGUACAUUUAAGUACAAAACAUAUUAACACAUUUUAUAGAGCAAUAAUUUAAUAUUCAAACUCAUUAAAUGUCAAAUUCAUUUACACAAGCAAUUUUCUUAGCAAAAAAUAAAAUGGAACCCCACCUUCCCUCUUGAUACCAAACGAUAUCUAAAUGAGGACAAAACUGUUCACAAUCUUCACAAAAUAGUCCACACGACAAGACACCAAACAGAAACAACAAACACAAUCUUAAACGAAAAAGAAGAUAGGUAACUUGACACAAAGAGAACACAUAAUGUAGAAACUAAAGAGUAUAUUAAACUCUAAAACCUCUACAAAAUACGUUAACAAGCACCAAGUUCUUAUGGUGACUGCCAAGGGAAUCAACUCACCUCAAGAUCCACCGUUUCCAAGCAAAGAACAAUAUUGACUUUUUCAAGACCUAAGUAACAAUGGCUAGUCUAAGCCCUAACUAAGAACUACACUAAGGUGGUCUACUCUCAAGAGAGAGGAUUUUCAAUGUCUCAUAUUUUUAUCAUUCAAAAACUAAAGAGAAAAGACCUAAUAAGAGACUAUAUAUAACUAGCUUAUUACAUAGUAUAAUGGACCAAAAUAUCCUUAAUGAAAGGAGAGGUCAUGGGUUGUUUCUUUAACAUGUGAAAUCUCCAAAAUACCCUUAAUGAAGGGUUCUUCUUUAAUUCUCCAAAGCCAUGGGGUCACACUUCAAAACUUGUAGUCUCAAAUUGGCAUCAAAUGUAAGCCUCCACGCAAUCUUCCACACAUGGAUUUGUUUAGUGGCAUGCUCAAAACGGGUCUUCCAUGCAUGUUUUCGUAUUCUCAAGGUGACCAAGUCUUGAGCCUCUAUGUGUUGGCCUCUAUAGAUGUCAUCAAAAGAUAAGAUGGCUAUUUGUCCCAUAUCAUCCUCCCCUUCUUGAAAAGGAUUCGACCUCGAAUUCAAUCCUUGCAAAACCAAAGAGAGGAUAAACAAAUACAAACUCCUCAUGGAAUGAGGGUUAGGGUUAGCAUAAUAAAUCAUCUCAACAUGCCAAGGUUGUACAUAUUUGCAAUAUAACCAAGGAUACUUUGAAUGAAAUAUUAAAAACUCAAUGAAAUAUGUAUGAAGGAUUUGGUUAUGGGAUUCACCAAGAGUGACACUUUGCUUCUCAUGUAGAUCAAGAAAUAAGUUGGGUGCACCAACAUUAAAAUUUCCAUAUUUGGCAACGGGGUCAAACGGGAAGAGUGACCAUAGACACGAGUCUAGAUAACACUUCUCUUUCCCAUGGUCUCUACCCAAACUAAAUGACAUACUCUCUACAAUAGCAUACAUAUCUCAAAAGUAAAUAGAGAGUAGAGAAAAGUAUUACUCAAGUCGACUUCUACUAAGGUGCUCUCAUGUGUGUACUCACUACUAAUUUCUCAAUCAUCACUAUGAGUACUCUCAACAAUAAAGUCACAAACAGUAGAAGAAGGAGUAACUUCCAAGACUACACAUUCCUUACCCUUAAGAGUACUCUCAUCUUUCAAGAAGAGAUUUCCAUCUUUAGGAGGAAUAUUGUCACACCAUAGUGGGUUAACAUAUAGGCUAUAGCCUCCAAGGUAAGCUAUACUAUCUUUUUCACCACUAGGAUCAUUAGGUGUGUUUAUAUUAUUUUCAAACAAGACAUUAUACCUAAAGAGUACAUGAUAUAACCCAUGGGAAGAUUUAGAACAAACAAGUUCCCCACUCUCUUAGAGAUCAAUAUCAAGUUUCAAAGCGAUUUCAAGCACAAGAUUGUCCCAAGAAUAGCUCUAGGAUUCACUCCCCUUUUAUUAACCAACUUUUUCAAAUACUUCACUCACUUGAGUUUGAUUAAUCACAUCACACACAUACUUAAGUAGUGGACAAUUUUCACAAAUAGGUUGAUCAACACCAAUUACACAAGACGAUGUACUACCGUUCAACAUAUAGGCUUUAACACUAGGCGGACAUAAAUUGAUCUUACAAGAAGAGUCAAUUUUUCCAUCAAUAGGAUCAACUAGUGUAUCCACACUCACAACAUAUACAUCAUUAACAAAAGGCAAAGAAUCAUUAGACUCACAAGUAAGUAAACUACUACUCACCCUCAAUGGGAUACUAGCCACACAAUUAUCAUUCACAUGCACAAAAGUGUAAGAGUUAGCUAUUUUACCUUGGAGUUCUUGAGUCGACUCUCUUUUUUCAUAUUGUGAAGGUCCUCUACAAGCUUGGGUAGAAAAUUCACUUCGGCAUUGCUCUCCUUCACACUACAAUAUUUUUGGCCUACGACCACUCUUGUAAAGCGUGGCCUAAAAUAGCAGAAAGUGUGGCCUUUGAUCAAAGGCUACACUUUUGGACUUUAGGCAACACUUUUUGGGGGGUGGCCUAAAGAGGCGUAACCUUUGAUCAAAGACCACACUUUUCAAGUGUUGCCAUAUCAGCUACACUUAAAAAGCGUGGCCAUUAAGGUAUAAAGGCCACACUUUGUAGCUUGUCAUUGGCAACACUUUUAUUUGAUAAAGCUAUACUUACAAGUGUUGCCUUUGUUUUGGUAUUGGGCACACUUCACAAGUGUAUCCUUUUGUAGCACCUCUACAACAACACUUAAAAAAUGUUGCCUUUGUUUUACUAUUGGGCACGUUUUAGAAGCGUAGCCUUUUUUAGCAUCUCUAUAACAACACUUAAAAAGCGUGAUCUUUACUUUCUUAAGGCUACACUUUUGAAAUGUAGCCAUUAAUACCUUCUUUAAAGCAACAUUUACAAAGUGUUCCCUUUACUAAUUUGCAUAUACACAUCUAAAUAAGUCGCACAAUAUAUAUCCCUGCUCCCAAUGACCACACGUUUAAAACAUAGAAUUCUUUUCUAUUUUAUACGAUUAAUAUUUACUACAAAUUUUGAUCGAAAAAUACAAUUAUAUUCUCAUAAAUCCACUAGUCAUAUUAUACAUCAUUAUUCUAUUUAGAUUGUCUCAAAACACUAUGUUAGAUAAAAAUAACUCAAAAAUUAUAGUACACACAAAUUUUCAUCAUGUACCCUUCGAGAAAUAGACUGACUCCAUGCUUAAUCUAGGCUUUCCAAUGUCCUCGAUCACAAUAUACAUUAUUAUUCAUAUCCUGAGUUGAACUAUGAUAUUCUCUAGUUGAAUAACAUACUGUGUUGUUGUAUAUAACAUAAACAGAUCCACCUAAUGUUUCCUUUAAAAACCACCUUUACCUGCAUUUCAUAAAAAAUAACUAUAAUUAAGAAAAGAAUGGAAAAAUGAACCAGAAAAGAAAAAUUACUAUAUUUGAAUAGAAAAUGUGACCUGAAAAAAAUACCAAGUGCACUCCCAUAAACUAGGGUCUGGAGAGGUCAGAGUGAACGUAGAACUUACCCCAACCCUCAAAGGUAGUGAGGUUAUUUUUGAUAGACCUAAAAUAAACUGAUCCAUAUUCCCAAGCUAUUGUUUUAUUUUUGUUAUGAAUGUAACUUUAACAUACUGCCACAAAUAGAAUUACUGCAUUUAGAAGUCUCAUCUCACCAAUGUCUAACAUGUGAGAACUCUAAUAUAAAAAUAUGCUAACCUUUAAUGCCUAGUAUAGAAAUGGAGUAAAUCAAGUCCACUGACCUUUAUAUUGAUGUCUCUUAUCUACACCAGCAUUUUGCUUUGCUUGGAGUCUUGACUGUAAGAAAGAAAAACACUAUUAUGUAGAAAAAAUGAACUGUUGGAUUGGGGUCCAAACGCCGCAUGAUCAGAACUUAAUUGGACCCAGUUGCAGGCCACAUAUAUUUAGUUUGAAGAGUUUAUUUAAGAGUUUAAGUUGAGAGCAGGUGUUUAUUUUCAAAAUGAGAGCAGGUGUUUUCGAGAGUUUAUUUAAGUCUAUGUCAGUUCCUAGCACAACAAGUUGUCUACAUUUUCUAGUAGCAUAUACCGAUGAUAUGUGUCUAGAAUACUUAGAAUUUUGCACUAGAAAGUCAUGCAACAAUAAACUUAAAAAGUUCUUCUGUGAGCAGAAUUUACUUGCUUCCGAAGAGCCUGUUGAACAUAAAAGAAGCAGUUAAUGACACUUCCACAACUAGAAUAAGCCUUAAUCUAAAAAAGAGUGCAGUUUACCUUAACUAGAACAAUUUUAUGUUCAUUAACAGCUAUUUUUCGUGUCUCCUGGACAGCGGUGAAAACAACAAGAGCAUUAUUACCAUCCACAUGAAUACUACGAAUUCUAUAACCUGUCCUUUGGUAACAACACCAUCACGUAAGUAAUAACCAUAAAUAGAUGUCAUUGUCAGUAGCCAACUACAUAAUUAUAAGGUUGUUUCCUAAUAUAAGGUUUUAAGGUUAAUCGGUGGCCGUUAAGGUUAUAAGAUUGUUUAUUAAACAAUGUCCGCUAAUUUUUAUGUAUAGAUUAGGCUUUCAAACCUAAAACAAAUAUAUAUCCUUGUAAGUUGACCAGUUACAACUUUCAAUACCUAUUUGUUGUUCUUUAAUAGGCAUCCAAGUGGUUACUUAAAGAUACAGAAAAACCAAAUUAGCUUUCACUUGACCAGCUACUACUUACAUCCAAACCAAGAUAAACGGAGCUAUAAAAUCUGUCAAGCUAUCUAUGUCAUUUACAUAUAGUACAUUUUAUUUUCCACUUUAAAUUUAAUCAGGAAAAUAAAAAAAGUAAUUACAGUUCAUCAAAAGAAAUGACAAAGUACCCAACGGAGUUUCCUCCAACUCAUCUAAGCUACUAAGUACUAAUAAGUUUUUAAAAGUUGAUGACUGGCCCAGCUAAGUGUGCCUUUACUAUUUUAGCCUUCAAGGUAUACAUUCAUCCACUAAGGAGCAAGAAGUCUAUGCAGGUCUUACUCCUCCAGCGUGGAGGUAGAGUGCUUAUUUUCCAUAUACCCCCAACUCAAGUAAAUAAAACCUUCCAAUAGUGAGGUGACCAUUUUUCCAGUAACAGAUUAUGCUCAACUAAUGUAACCAUUUUGUCAUUGAACUUUCUAGAAAAAAAUCAUCCCUUGACACAUUCUUUCUCUACUUUAGCCUAUUUUUAUAGCUUUCCCUUGACCUUGAUUAUUUUUAGCUCAGUGAAAGGACCCACUGGAAAUGGUAGGAGUGCUAAUAUUAUAGAAAGGAUGGAACUUGAAUUUGUGAACCUGUAGAGACCAUUGGAAACUUGAGAAUACACAAAGUUUAAAACACAUCUUUGUCAAACAAUAAUAUGUGUUUGCAUGGAGUGUGUGCGUGGGUCUAUCCAUAUAUUUUAAAAGUAAAUACUUCUAAUGAUUAUAGUGUGAGCUAUAUGGUCACAAACUCUGAAAAGUUAACCAAAUCAAGAGUGAGAACAUGUCAAACUCGACCAAAUGAACAAAUAUUAUUACCAAAACAAGUAACAAGGAAAAAUAUAACACAUUAAUUAUAAGACAAACUUGCGCACACACAACAACUGCAUUUUAGAAUUCACUAAAUAUAUGCAGUUGUUAAGCUUCCACCAAAGUCUGAAAAAAUUAUAUUUUGACAAAAAAUGUUGAUGUUAUCCAAAUGGCAUAUCAUUGUUAGACAUAGCUAGGUUGUUUAACUAGUAUUCAAUUAGGUACAGUCCUCAAUCAGCGUUUAAUCCCAUUAAUCACGUCAAUUAGAUAAAAAAAACUCAGAAUAACUGCAUAUAAUGGAGGAAAAGAAAAAUCAUAAAUGUUGUCAAGAUAAUUCCAAUCAUAACAGGAAUGAGAGUCAGUAGGAAGUGACAGACCUGCUUUUUAAGUCUCUCUCUUUCGAAUGCCAAUUGUAUAAUUAGAUCAGUUAUCAAUUUACUUCAGAAGUUAAUAUCUCAGGCAGUAACCUUCUUCGUUUCUUCAGCUUUGCGUAAUGAUGCCUCCAAACAUGCUAACCUACUCCUUGCAAAAGUUAAUUCUUCAUUGAGAUCUGCAUUAGAUUCUGACAAGAUAAUUCACUUAUCUUCAGCACUAUCCAUCAAACUUUCUUCUUUUAAAACUUUUGAUUUUAGAUCUUCAAUCAAGUAUUCCAUGUCUUUGGUUGUAGAAUUCAACAUGAUCUACUUCUCUUGACUAGCUUCGGCAGAUGCAACUGUAUGAUGAAGUCGAUGCUCAGAGUCCCUUAUACUUAUCUUCGUAGAUGCAAUAUAAUUGGACAGCUAGAACUAAGAGUCCCCCAACAGUUUUUCAAGAGAUUUAACCUUAUCCACAAGGUCAUUAGAAGUGCUUUCAGAUUUCCCUACUAAGUUGUCUUUUUCUUUUAAAUGUUCCUUUAGUUCUUGAUGUUUAGAUUAUAAGUGGCUCUCUCUCUAUGAACAGUACCAUUCGGAUUAAAUGUGCCAUCUGGAGUCGACCCCCAGUAGUUCUUUUGAAAUUAUUGAGAAGACUUCAUUAGCAUUCUUUUCCUCAAACAACCUUUGCCAAGAAUCUUCAAUUUCUUCCUCCAUGCGGAGAGCUUCUUGCUGUAACUAGAUUUAUAAUUCUUCUUCAACUUGUCAAGAUUCAUUAAGCUUCUUCUCAAGAUCUAACUCUCUUGCCAAAGACUUCUCCAGCAUUCGCAGAAUGUGUCUCUGCUGCUCAACAAUCUGUAUUUUUAUCUGUCUUUAGAGUUAAAACUGCAGCACCAUUAAAUUAGUCUGCUGCCUCGCCAUCUUACGAAUUAUAAUCAGUACAAAUUAUGUAAUUCAAAUCUAUAGUCUAAAAUUUGUUACUAAACAUAUUAGACUUAUGAAUAUAUCAAAACUCCCCCACAAAGUGGCAUCUAGGAAGGGUAGAGUGUACAAAGACCUUACACCUACCAAAGUACAGAGUUUUUUUCCAUAGACCCUCAUUUCAAGGAAAGAUCAUCCAAUGUAGAAGAAAUAACAAAUGCACAAGAAAAAUUAGUUUGAUAAAUUAAGGAACUUAGUGAAAACUAAACAACACCAACAAUAUGUCCAAUCAUGAUACUUUAAAAAGACAUUAUGUUCAAUAGUUGUAGAACCAAAUGAGGACUUACCAGAUGUCUACAAUCAGCAGCGAUAGCAAAAAUUGUGUCAUCUCUUUGUGCUUUUGAUUCUUAAUUUCUUUGAUCUCUGUCAUAGAGGUUGUCAAACAGAACAUGAAAAGUAAUACUUGAGCUCCAUUCUUCUAAGUUUCUAGGACUCUCCAAAAAUGUUGCCGCACCCGUGUCGGAUCCUUAAAAAAUACACUAUUUUUGAAGGAUCCGACAAGCACCCAUAGACAUGGAAGAGUCCGAGUAACUUAGCCUUUCUUUCAAACACAAUGGUGUUUGGAUAGAAACUGGUUAAUUUGAGAUGACAUGGGAGUAAAAAGGCAGUUAACAUACAAAGCUUGGGAAUAAAAGAGAUAUGACACAACAAUAUCAGAACUAAAUCUUUCUUAUAGCAUUGACUAAAUUUACCAAGAAUAGAAAACAUUCAACUCAUACCAAAAAACCACCAAUUUGAUUUAUACAACAUAAUAACUUUCUAUAGAAGGACCAAGUGAAAUGGUAGUCAAAUGACCUACUUUUUAGUGCUCUUCUUCUUGGAAUCGGAGUUAGCAGACACUGGUUUGGGAUGCUUUUAAGUCAAACUUGGGUCCAUGAGAGGAUUGUGAUUAAGGAUAGGCUAGUUGGCUAUAAUGACAAGAGCCGUAAAGACAACACCACCAGCAUACCUUAACAGCAUAGUUUGUAUUGAGCCAAACACAUAGACUAUGAGGAAUGCUACCACAACAAAGCUCACAAGACGUAUCUGCAUCAAUUUCUCCGCUAGCUUUUGUCCUUACCAAUCCAUCUAAAAUAGAUGACAAAAAAACAAAUGAAAAAGCUGUACAUUAUCACAAAAUAGGUAGAAUAAAAGUAAGUUAUAUUUAUACUAAAUCCACCGAUCGAAUUAGCUAUCUAUUAGUCCAAACCGACAAGCUAAUUGGGAUCGGUCAUUAGUUUAAGAACCAUCUCUUUUAGAAAAAUAAUUCAAAAAUAACAAUGCAUAGUCACUGUACAGUUUGUGUUAAUGUUCUGGUUCCUAUAUCAGAAAUAAAUUUGAGACAAUAAACCAAUGAAUGAACUAUUCAUCACAACACAAAUGUCUAUUGAGGAAGGCAAUUCAAAAUGUUACUAUGAAGCUCUAUCAUGAUCAGCGAUCCAAGGUUUUGGCCUUGAUAGAAUCACUAUGUUCCAGGGAAGAUUCACACUCAACUAUGUAAGGCUGAUAGCCUGCUGCAGUUGAUAGAUUUAAACUCCUUAUACUAUCUGCUAGGUCACUUUUUAGUUAAACUUCUUAUAUGUUCAAAUUGGUUUACAUAGAUUUCAACAACGUAAGAAAGUAAACUACGUCUACGGUACUACAAUUCUUUAAAGUAGAUGUCCCCACAAAAUGUGAUGCAGAACACCAUUAUAGGUUAACAAUCAGGGAUCAAUACAGAAUAUUAAAUAUUACAAAGUAUUGCUGUGAAGAGGGGACAAUUGUGGUGGUAACAGAUUCAAAAAAUAUUCAACUCAUAUAAAAAAACCACCAACUAAUUGAGAGGAUUGUGAUUUAACACAGGCUAGUUGGGUAUGGUGACAAGGGCCAUAAAGACAACACCACCAGUGUACGUUUACAACAUAGUUUAGAAUGAGCCUAACAUAUAGCCUAUGAGGAAUACUGACACAGCAAAGCUCAUAAGAAGUAUCUGCAUCAAUUGCUGCAUUAGCUUUUAUCCUUGUAAAUCCAUCUAUAAUAGACGACAAAAAGACAACAAAAAAAAUUGCACAUUAUCACAAAAUAGAUAGAAUAGAAGUAAUUCAUAUUUAUACUGAAUCAACCAAUCCAAUUAACUAUUAUGUAGUCCAAACUUUAGCGCCACUGGUCGGAUUCUCAAAAAUGACCCCGGAGUCUGUGAGAUCUUCCAAAAAUUACACAUUUUUGAAGAUCAGAGCAACAUAGCUCCAGCAGAACAAGAAUUAUUAAAACUCAAAUCUAUCUUCCAUUAAAAAGCACUUAUAAUUAACCCACUAAAACUCCUACCUUCACUAUAUUAUUGGUUGAUAUGCUAAUAGAGUUGAGCUGAAGUUAGACGAAAUUUGACGAUUUUGGAAAUAAAUCUUCCAUGGAUUCGAUGGAUUUGAGGAGAAAUUUGGGCAAAGAGCUGAGGGUUUUAUGAGCUCUAAGAUCUGUGAGAUAUUUGGAAAAGGAGAUCAAUAUAUUUUAUUAAAUAUUUUCUUUACUCAUUUAUUUUUGGAUAAUAAUUAAUUGGAGGGAGAGUAAAAUAUUUUGGAGGGAGAGUGAAAAAUUUGUAAUGAAAAUUUAGGCUACAUUUUUAAAAUGUUGUCUUUUGAAUUAUAAUAAUUCCACACUUAAAAGUGUAGUCAUAUGAGUAAAUAAGAGUUGCCAAUUCUAUCAAGAUUUGACAAUGCUUAUAAAGUGCGGCCUAUACCAUUAAAGACCACGCUUUCUAAGCGUUGUAAAAAUUAAUGUGGCCAAAAGCUAAAAGUUUAGACUAUGCUUUAAAAGCAUGAUCUUAAAUAGUAUAGGCCACACUUUACAAGUGUUUUCUAGAUUUAGUGUGGCCAAAAGACAAAAAUGUUGUAGUGUCACUUGCCAUGGUCACUUGCGAUGUCGGUACCUACACAAAUGUCCUUAGAAAUAGAAGGACAAAUAAUGUUAGCUCGGUUUGGUGACAAUCCCCUCACUUCGCCCCACACAACCUCUCCUUUUUCCACUCUCAUAUUACCACCUUGCACACCCUUACUCCUUUUAAUAUUUUGUCUCUCAUAAGCAUUUAGAUUGGUGUAAGUAUUCAUUUCUCUUUGUGGCUCGGGCAGGAUUUAUGUCAUGAGGUGAUUUCUCGAUCGGUCUCUUACAAUAUGAGGCCAAUUUUGCAUACUUGGAACUCUAUGUUGUGCAAACCAAUCGGCACCUAAGCAUACAUAAUCGUAUGUUAAUAGAAGAAUAUUACACCACACCUCCUCAUGGUAUUCAAAUUAGGAGAAGACAACUUUGAUCCUCUUGGUGACCUUAAACCCGUCCAAAAAGUAUGGAACAAGUAAAGGCUCAUGAAACAAUCCUAAGUAGUCAACCAUGGAUGGAAGAAUGUAGUUUCUAUAGUACCUAUCAUUUAACACAAUGAGGAAGCCUGGUAUCCCAUAAAUGGUCACCUUUUUAGAGUGUACACUCCUUGUUGGAUCAACAUUGUAAGUCACACAAGCACUUCUCAGUUUUAAAGAUGCAUACCCUCUUCUUCUCGUUGGUCAGCCUCCACUAGAGCUAGUAUAACCAUUCACACUAUAUCAAACUUGAUAAGAAGUACUACAUGGUAGAGAAUAUGAAUCUUCAUACUCCUCACAUAUACUCUCAUCAUAUCUCUCAUAAGCUUUGCGAAUGAAAGGGUUAUACCUAACACCAAAUCUAGGUUCGGAGUGAGAAGUGUAAGACUCCUCACAUGCCCCAACAUCAUCAUAAGAUCCAUCAUGAGGUCCUAAAUCAUCUCCAAGUUCACUAUAAGCACUAGGCACUUCAUUCACCUCAUUUUCUCCCUCAAAACCGUAACUCUUAAAUCAGCCAAAGUUUUGAUCAUGGCUAUUUUCAUAGCCUCCAUAAUCUCCGUUAACUUCAUAGCCAUAAAACCCCUUACUACAAUCAUAGUCUCCCAUAUUAUAGUCAUAAUAAUUCUCGACAAUCGAAGACAUGUUUCCCUUAUAUCACCUUUGUACCCACACAAUGAACAAAUGAUAUUAGUAGUAAAAGCUCCUCACCAACACUUGUAUACACCCACCUUUGUGAUUCUUACAAUUGGAGCGACGAAUAUUGAAAGUUGCUUAUACUCCGGUAGUCAAUAGGAUGUCAAUUCUACUUGGCUUCCGGAAUGGAUUCUUGUUUGAUCGACUCAAGACACAAAAAUAAAAUUUACUUACGAACUUAAAACAAAGAAGCUACUAUGAGUUAAAAAAACACACAAAUAACGAAGACACGAAAGAAACUAAUUCAACAAUUAAUCUACAACUAAGUAGGUGAUUACUUGUUGUUAAUUAAUUCUAGAAUCAAGACAUGAAACUAAUGAAAAAAUAAAAUGAAACUAAGAAUCUAAAAUUUUUAAGCUUAAGCACUUUUGGUGAUGACGUGGCAGCCUCUCAUUGGUUAUUGAAAGUUUUUGAAAGUUUUGAGAAAUUUUUUUCUUGUUUGUCAAUUUGUAUUGAUCAAUGUUUAAUUGGAAAAGUGUAUUUUUGGUUUUGGGAGGGAAAAAACAACACUUAGAGGCUUUUCAAUGUUCAAAAAAAGGAUUGAAUUUUCUUUCACCCUUUUGGCAAAACACCUUUUGAAGCCUUUGUCCGCCUUUCCUCUUUUGUAGGUUUUGGGAAGACCCCUUUCUCUCUUUUGGUAAUAAGACCUUUAGAAAGUCUUUUGACCCUAUUUCUUCUUUUAUAAUAGUAUUGGAAUGUGUUUCAAGACUAACAAGACCACACCUUCUUUCUUCUUUGAUUUUAGAUCAAAUAAACCACUUUCUUUUCAACAAGAUAUCAAGAUGUUGAAGUAACCAAGAACACAACUUUGAAUCUUGGAGUUCUAAGGUUCACGUUGGACCUCUCAAACAUCAAUAACAUAUAUUCAAUCUCCAAUAGUCAACAAUAACAUCAGCAAAAUAUUUUUCCAGCCACCAAUCUUCAACAACAACAUCAAUAAAACGUUUUUCCAGCCACCAAUCUUCAAUAACAAUAUCAACAACCUUCCAAUAUUCAAGAACCUCUCAGAUUUACCUUAAAAUUUAGAUGUAGACUCUAUUAUUGUUAGUGAAGAAGGGACUAACACUGGAAAAAUCAAAAAAAAAAAAUACAAUAAAACCAAGCCUCAAAUCUCGGCCCAAACACAAAAAUGGGACAGAUUACUUUUUUUUUUUUUUGUAUUUUUUAGUUUUUUCAACACUAUUUUUGUGAUUUUUCAAGAUAGCAAACCCAAGAUUGAUCUCAUGAAAAUGAAAUAAAUGAUGGAUAUAAUACCAAAUGAUACCUAACACUAUCUAAAUGAGCACAAAACAGUCCACAAUCUUUGCAAAAUAUCCCACACGACAAGACAUCAAACAAAAACAAAAAACACAAACUUAAACGAAAAAGAAGAUAGGUAACUUGACACAAAGAGAACACAUAAUGUAGCAACUAAAGGGUAUAUUAAACUCUAAAACCUUUACAAAAUACUUUAACAAGCACCAAGUUCUUACUGUGACCACUAAGAGAAUCAACUCACCUCAAGAUUCACCGUUUCCAAGCAAAGAAUAAUAUUUGAUUUUCCAAGCCCUAACGUACAAUGGAUAGUCCAAUCCCUAACUAAGAACUAUACUAAGGUGGUCUACUCUCAAGAUAGAGGAUUUUCAAUGUCUCAUAUUUUCAUCAUUCCAAAACUAAAGAGAAAAGACCUAAUAAGAGACUAUAUAUAACCUAGCUUAUUACAUAGUAUAAUAAACCAAAAUAACCUUAAUGAGAGGGGAGGUCGUGGGUUGUUUAUUUAACAUGUGAAAUUUCCAAAAUACCCUUAAUGAAGGGUGCUUCUUCAAUGCUCCAAAACCAUGGGGUCACACUUCAAAACUUGUAGUCUCUAAUCGGCAUCAAGUGUAAGUCCCCACGAAAUCUUUUACACACGGGUUUGUUUAGUGGCAUGCUCAAAAUGGAUACUCCAUGCAUGUUCUCGUAUCCCCGAGGUGACUAAGUCUUAAGACUCUAAGUGUUGGCCUCUAAAGAUGUCAUCAAAAGAUAAGAUGGCCAUUUGUCUCGUAUCACCUCUUUCACUCAAUCAAAAAUCUAGUAAAACCUUAAAAGUUUCUCUCAUACGACGAGCUUCGAAAAUACUUCAAUGAUUUGAGCAUUGACAGAAUUCCAACACCGAGUCAACGAAAAGGGUAGUUCCAACGCCGAGUCAAAUACUUUAAAAUUAAAUAUCAUAAUAAGUUGUUAUUUUAAUCCAUAUCCAUAACUAUAUCAUAUAUAUCAGUGGUUAUAACUAUGAAGGAAUUGUGUUAGUUAUAAUCUGGUACAUAGCACAUGCAUAUAUAUAUAUGACAUUCAAUAUUGCUGUGAGUUCUUAUUUCACACAUAUACAUAACUAUGUUAUGUUUAUGUUUGACAUAAAAAUUGCUGGGUUGUUUAUUUCAAAAUCAUAUGCAUAACAAAGUUAUGUAUAUGUAUUCCAUACAGACUGCUGAAUUAUUUUACCUCAAACCAUAUACACAACUUUAUUAUGUAUAUGUUUGAUGUAGACAUUGUUGGACUCUUUUAUUCCAAAUCCAUAUGCAUUAUUUUAACCUAUAUAGAUAACUAUGUUAUGUAUAUGAAAUACAUAAGCAAAUGUACAUCUGUAUUGACAUAUCACAUAUAUAUCAUAGUUAUGUAUAGGACUCUGUUAGACCUGCUGAAUUAUGUUAUUUCAACCAAUACACAUAGCACACUUAUGUAUAUGGAAGAAUGUUAGCCAUUGCUCAUCUGUACUAUCAGUAAUGAAAACUUUUGUUUAAGUUCUGUUGCAUAGUAAACUAAUAUUGAUUUGUAAUUUAUUACAGGGGAUGAAAUACACCAGAAUGCCUCAACAUUAUUAGAAUUUUCAUCUUAUUGAGAUUUUUUUUGAAGAAACAGAUCUUGAGAAUAUAACAAGAUUUUGAUAAAAAAUAUAAAAGCUGAUGUUGUUUAAUCGACUACCUUGAUUUGGUGUUUCAAAAUUUUGAAAUUCAAAGCUGUUACUGAUUUAAGGGAUUCAUUAGUCACACAUUAAUAGAUAUGACAUUAAUUGCGUUCUACAUUAAAGGAAGAUGCGUUAUUUCCUUAAAUAUCAUUAAGGAAGUUAGUUCUGAUGCAUAAGAUACUUAUGUAUAUUAAAGUUCAAUUAUGUAUAUGAAUAGUAAAAAUAGGAAGAGAGAAAAUUUAUUAAAAAAAUUGGGAGAGAGGGUAAUUAAGGAUCAAAUUAGUGGGAUUUAUGUUAUUUAUCCAUAUAAUUAUUAUAUUGUUUAUUGCAAGUUAUAACAAUACUUUUAUAUAGUUAUUAAAUUAAACUUUUAAUUUCAAGUUGUAGAAUUUUAUAAAAGAAUAAUUUUAAUUUUUUUCUUAUAAAAAUCAUUUACUACAUAUUCAUUAGUCAGAUUAUCUAAUAUUUUUAGUCAUUUAUAUUCCAACUCUCUUUAUUAAUUAUUCUGAUAAUUAUGAUAGGAAUAAAUUCUGGUCAUAAUAAUUUAUCUUAGUUUAUUCAUUUUUUUUACCUUUAUCAGAAAAGUUACAAGUGUUGUUCAUAAUAGGAGUUAAAUAUGGUAAAAAUAUUUUCCUUAUUAAUCCACGUUUAUUGAAUUUUUAGUAAAUUAUACAUUUAGAGGUCGUUUGGUUUGAAAAUAAGUUAUACCGGGAUUAGUUAUGUUGGGAUAAGUUAUGCUGGGAUUAGUUGUACUGGGAUAAGUUAUGCUGGUAUUAGUUUUUAGUGGUUGUUUGGUUUGUGGUACUAAAAAUAAUAUAUAGUGCAUUGUUUGUAAAAAUAUAUUGUUUGUUUAAAAAAAAUAACCCUCACUUUAGUUAAUUAUUUUUAUGUUUGUAUUUAUAUGGUUUUUUUUCCCAUCAAAUUAGAAAUUCAUAUGUCUCUUUUACAUAGCUAGAAUAUGUCUCUUUUACAUAGCUAGAAAUUCAUGUCUCUUUUUCCAUCAAUAUAUUGUUUGUAUUUAUAUAUUUUUUUUCUCUUUUUCCCAUCCGUAACUAUGGCCAUUGGUUCUCAUCGCCUAUCUCAGCUGGUGUGUUGAGUCCAUGAUUCAGUAUAUCAAUUUAGUAGAUAUCAAGAGCCUAGCAACAGCAAGCAGAAGCGGCAUAAAUUUUACUGCACUAUAUAUAUAUAUAUAUUUAAAAGUGUAAAGACCCUUAGAAAAGUGAUUUGAACUUUUUGUCCUUCAUUAAAAGAUUGUCCUUUAGAUAAAAGUGUCUUUUUACUAUUUACCUAAUAAUAUUUAAUUAAUUUUUAGGACUUCAAACCCAACUAAAAUCAAAUUCUCCCCCCUCCCUCUUUUUUAGGACUACACAUAUUUUUUUUAAAUGCUCUAUUUUGUAUUAAAUAAAACGAAAGUAAAAGUCUAUCAAAAACUAAAAAGGGCUAAAAAAAUCAAUCUUAUUUGUGUUGGUUUAGUUUAUUUGGAAUGUAAAAUAUUCUAUUAUUGAUAAAUAGUUAAUGAAAAAAGUAAAAAUCAAUCAUAUUUAUAUAAUUUCUUUAUUGAAGAAAAAAGUUUUGAACUUCUAUAAUUGAGAAUUUUUUUAGAAAAAUACAAUAAUAUCUAAUAUGAACAUAUGGAACAAGAUAUAUUUAUUUUUGUUCUUAAAUGAUUCUUUAUUAUUUGAUUUGAAUUUUCUUCUUUUUUUUGGUCGCCAAGAUACGUCAAAGAAAUAUAUUUUUGUAAUAUUUAAUUUACUUAGAUGCAUUGAUUUCGUAGUUUUAUUUUUUCCAAUUUUGUAGGUAUCUUGAAGAUGAAUAAUGAUUAUGAUGAUAUAGACAAUCAAUGAUCAAAUUUUUGAGUCAUAUAAAAUAUUAUAAUUAUUUUUUCUUUCUAAAACACCAACCGUAAUUUAAGGGGUUGUCAAUAUAUUUUACACCUACCUCAUUUGUAUCUUUGAUAUUGACAACUACUAUAUAUCUAAUUAAAUAAAAUCUCUUACUAUUUGAAUAAAUAUCGUAUUUAGUGUAGCGUUUAAAUUCAUUAUAGUGAGGUACACGCGCGAGGCGCGUACACCUAAGCUAGGUUAUAUAUAUAUAUAUAUAUGAGAAAGUGGAAAGAAAAGGGUUUGGGGGUAUUUUUGUCAUUUAUAAUUUUAUCCAAGGAUAAAUUAACUUGAGAUAACUUAUACCACCAAAUAUGUGGUUUAACUUAUCCCGGAAUUAUUAUAAGUCCUAGGAUAAGUUAUCCCGAGUAUUGCCAACCAAACAAUGUAUAAAAAAGUUUAUUCCGGGACUUUUUUUUAUCCCGAGAUAAUUUGCCUUAGUACCUCACACCAAACGACCCCUUACUUACUUUCUCAAGAUUUACACGUUUAUCUAUAUUUACGUUAUUGGUAAAAGAGUCACUUUUGCAUUGAUAUAAAUUUCACCGUAUAUCAAUUUACUAUCUUUCCUUAAGCAAUUACUUUUCUUAUUCAUUUUUAUAGAAUUCUCUAGAUUGUGUAUUACUUUCUUCACUAAUGUUGAUUUUGAGGUUAUAAAUUUGACUCAAUUAAGUUUUUUUUGAUUGAAGUGCAUUAUCUAUUAGAUUUUUGUUUGUUUUUCACUUAUGUUUGAAUCAUGUCUUUAAAGUUUAAGUUCAAUUCUACUCCAACUAGUAAGAGCCCUAGAUUAUAAGAAGAAAACAACCCUAUUGUACUUCCAAGAUCUUCUUUUAAUUUGGGGUGUUUUACCCCAUCUCCAGUCUCAAAGAAUAAACAAAAGUUAUUCAAAUAGAUUAAGUCUUGAACAAUCAAGUUGAGAUUUUGCCGAACAAAAUCAAUUUUCCUCAAAAUGCAUCUUCAUUGGAGCAGUCGUAAAUGAAUAUAUAAAGAAAAUAUUGUCAAAAAAAUCUGUUAUUCCACCAAGGUAGGAGGAGUUUUAAGAGGAAAAAUGUUGUCAUUUAGCAAAUAUCUGAUUUCAAUUUUGAAGACGAAAUUUCAUCAUAAAACAAAAAAAAAUCAAAGAGUGAAAAUCAUGGGCCUAUUCAAGUUACAAGGUCCAACUACAAUGUGACAAUUGACAAAGUUGUUGAUAAGAAGAAUAACAAGAAAACAUCCAUAAAAGCUUGUAAGGUAAUUAUAAUGAAUUUUUUAAAAUUAAAAUGUGACAAUUUUCAUGCAUGUCAAUUAGGUUUUUCAAAUUUUUUUCUUAAAUUUAACUUUAAAAUUUAGUGGUUAUUCAUCUAUUACAUUUUUCAUAAACAGAUUUAUCAUUUUAUAAUUUAUGUAGUGAUCAAAUUUUUAGGGGUUGAUUCUAUGAAUUUUUUUAUUUUUAUGUGUUUUGAUCAUUUUAUCCCUCUCUAUAGUUGUUACGUGAUGUUUUUGGAGUGUGGGGAUGAUUGGUAUGAUUUUCAAUGCAUUACGGUGUGAUUUAUGCAAGUUUGUAGUUUUUGAAGGUUAAAAAAGCUUUUUAUGAUUGACUUUGAUCACUAUUUUGCUGUUCUGCGUGUUGGAUGGAAAAAGAAACUGUGCCAACAAAUUUGGAACAUUAAUUUUGGAUUAGUUCAUGGUUGAUUUAGUUUUAUGAAUUUUAUAUCUCAUUUCGACCAUCAAUUCAGAAGAUUGUGAAAUUAGGUCUCGGGGAUCAGUUCUGUAAAAUCAAUCUCUUUUCAAAAAUCUGAUGUCGUCUUUGAGUAUAGAACAUUGAAUUGGAUAUGGUAGCAUAGUUCAUUUGUAUUCUCAAAAUUUUAAAUGAAUCCCGGGGGGUCGGUAGAGCUUAAAAUUUUUUAAGUUUCAGCUGGUGCACCACUCAUCUAGUGCAACCGGUAAAGCAAUACUUGGGUCUCUUUAGCAACCCGCCGGAUGCUUAAGUGACCCGGCUCACCAACUGGGUCCUCUAAAGUGGAGCCAUGUCCGCUUAAGCAAAGGCUGCUAAAGCGGCCCCAUGUCUGCUUAAGCAGACUGUGCAACAUUCAGGACACGUGUACCGCUUAAGCCGCACUUGACCGCUUUGGCGGUGACUGGUUAAGUAGCCAUGCCUGACAUUUUAUAAAACGCCUUCAUUCUCGAUUUUUCUUCUAUUUUACAACUUUGAGCAUCGGUUUUUAGAGUUUUUGGAUGAAUUCCUCCAUUUUAAGCUUGGGUAAGCUCAAAAUCAUUAUUUUAACUGUUUUACUCAGAUUCUCGUCAUCUAAACCUCGUCAAAUGUGAUUGCAAAAGUGAAAUUCAGGAAUUUUGACCCAAAAGGUCCAAAAUAAUUUUUCUUCAAUUUAAACCCCGUCUUAAACCCUUUUUCACUUGAAUUUUUUCCCAUGAAUUUCUUUAAUCACGGGUAAUGUGUUUAUGGAUAAAAAUUCUGGAUUUACCUUUUCUUUUCAAAAUCUAUUUUUAUGAUAUGCUUUUACCUCGACUCCAAAGUUGGCAAUAUGGGUAUCGUUGACUUUGUUUUAAUGUGUAGAUUCUAUAUUUGUAUCUUUUAGUCGAUUCCGAGGUUGUUCGUAAGGAAAGAGUUUUGAGUUGAAGGAUUUUGGACAGAAUUUCGUCGCUUCGAGAUAGAUUACUUAACUUUAUUCAUACUAGGCUGGGUAGUUAAUAUUUGAAUAAAAACAUGCUGUGGGUAUGAGUAAUAAUCAUGAAAUUAAUGUCAUUACAGUUGUGUGCCCGUAUGUAGACUUACAUUGUUAUUAUUGGUGAACUGGGAUGCUAAUUUCUAUGUGUAGCCCGUGUGGAGUUUUUAUCUGAUAUUGUUGCCCUUAUGUAUACCUUUGGUUGCUUCCCUCAUGAUAAAAAAUGCCUAAGCUAGGAUUAGUGGGAUAUUAAUGAUGUUUUAAUUGCAUAUUUCACUCUAAUAAUAUGUGGCUUAUAUUGAAUCAUGGAUGAUUGACAUAUUGUGUGAAUUCUUAGAUCACUUACGUAUGUAUUGGAGAGGGUUUCAGAUCUUUAUUUUGAUUUGAUUCUGAGCAUUACAUCCUCAUAUCAUACGUACAUUCAUGAAAUAUUGGUUCCAUUGUGGAUAUGCUGAUUUUUGAUAGAAAUGAAACACUUUUACAAAAUCCUCUACCGUAGUCCUCGAGUCAGAGAAGAGAUAUAAAUAUGAUAUGAAUAUUGAGACUAGGAUUGAGUAUUGAGAUUGUAUAUGGAUUGUGAACCCUCGAUGGAUCCUGCCUGGAAGCAAUGACGCUCGAUAGGUGUAUACAGAUAUUAUGCAAUAACCUCAAUCAUAUCACAUCAUCAUCAUUAUCACUCUCAUUCCAUUUCAUUCACUAAUGCAUCUCCAGUGUUGUGUUUUUGUAUUUUUAUCUGAUGGAGGAGAUAGUGGGAGCUACCAUUUGGGAAAUUUUCUACUUGCAGGUGACGUGCUCAUAGUGUGUAUUUAUAUAUUUUAUUUACUACUUUGCUCAAUCACCCUUUGAUACCUAUCGAUUACAAGUGGAUUGUACUCAUCCCUACUGUGCCCUUCUGGUGCAGAUCCAAGUAUGAGAAUGCCGCACGUUAGCUAAGUUUGGGCGGUGACUUUUUACAUCCGAGUUAGUGGCUGAUUUAUGCUUUUAGAGUCAAUUUCUGACCUUAUUCGAUGUCACAACCUGUACUAGGACCUAGUCAUGAUGGGUAUCACAAGCCCACCAUGGGCCAGAGAGUACCCCCUUAGCCUACCUACAGAGCAUAAUAAAUGAAUACAGUGGAAGCCAACCAAAAUAGUAAUUAACAUAGAUGAAUCUAAUGAAAUCUAAGAAUCUAAAUAAGACAACCAAUCAUUCCUAUACUGUCCACAAAAGCCUCUAAAACAAGAAUACCAGACUAAGUCGGGACAUGCCCCCGACUAUGACCAAAAGGGUCCAAAAAGAAAUACUAAGAAAUUAAAAAAAAUAAGAGAAAUAAACGGCCUUUCGAAAGAUCUGGCUCACCAUUUCACAAUAGAUCCACAGGAGUACCAAAUCACCUAACACUGCACAGGAGAAACAAAAAAACCCUUGGAUCCUACAUUAUGAAAUGAUGCAACGUUAAGGGACGGUUAGGGGGUGAGAACUGACAUGUAACACAGAAAAAGAGAUCAACUAAUGCCAUUUCCAAAAACUAGUCAAAACCACAUGUUAUAUAUACAUAUAUAGGAUGCUGGGAUAGGAACAAGGGUCAUGAACAUGAGAGUUUAAACCAUAAACCUAAACUAUGUAGCUCUCUCCGUGCUAAAGACAUCCACGGGCUAUAUGGGUCUAGCUCCCUCUACUGGAAGGGCCCUAGUGCGUGUUAGCCACACGAACUGAAGAAAGGCUAAAGAUCCCAAGGUGACAACCAUCUAAAAUAUUGUGUGUAUCCAGACAAACGGUCAUAUAGACCCCCAUACUGGAAAAUGUGGUUUCCAUUGUUACUCCCCCGAGACUACACCUUCACGGUGAUCUGCACAAUUCCCUUUAAGCCUAAAUUAAAAUAGCUUGCACAUAAAUCAAACUAUUAAAUGAGGAGUCAUUUAUUAUGGAAUUUUUCAAAAUGGUAUUGUCAUACCAAUAUGCUUGCAAGCUACUUCAAUUAGGCCAAACUAGUCCAUAUAACCAUUAGAUUCCUGAGUUCCAUUUAAAAAUCCAAACAUUGCCACUAAGGCAUUCCAAAAUAAUUUUUAUCCAUUAAUCCUUUAAUGCAAUGCAAUGUUUCAAAAGUAAGUUAAAUUAUGCAAGUUCUAUAUUCAAAACCCAAAAAAAUCAAAGUGGGUUGAGGUUAAUGCCAUUAUCAAGCCAAAAUUUCAUCAAAUUGGGGAAACCCAUGUUCCCUAUUCCAAUCCUAAUAACAAUGCACCCAUUCAGUCCCAAAAUCCAUCAGUUAAAGAAUAAACAACACAUUUAAAUCAUGAGAAAAAUAAUUCAAGUAAUAACCAUCGAAACCCCUCAAACCAAUUUCAAACCCAUUAAUUAAAAUCACAUGAAUAACGAUUUGAUAAAUUCCACAAUGUAAAAUUCAAUGUAAGGAUGAGAAACAUGCUUACAAUACCAAAGAAUUUAGAGAAGUCUAAGUUUGGAGCUUGAAUGGUGAAUUCUCUGCAAAACCUUUGAACUUUCUUGGCUUGGGAGAUAAAGAAGAGAAGAAUGAACUUUGAUCUUUGAAAACUAAAGGAAAAGGGUUUAUUUGGUGUUUAAAAGUCGUGCAUGGGCUAAAAGGACCAAAAAACCCUCACCCCAAGUGAAAAAAAUAAAACCUGAAUGAAAAUUACAUAGCUGUGUGGCACGCUGCUAUCGCGGAGCUUAGCUUCCAUGUCAGCCCUUAUUUGGAGUCUAAAUGGUGUGGCACGCCACUAUUGCGGAGGCUUACUACCUCAGAGUCUUAAAAUAGCCCUGAACUUCUUCCAAAAAUUUUAAACUUUUCCCAAUACCUUUUUAACAUCCCCAAUCAUAGUUUAAGUCAAAAAUUGAUAUUAUGCAUACAGGAGGAUCAAAAUAAAAUUGUUGAAAUUUUUGCGGUGUCUUACAUCAUCCCUGCUUAGGAUCAUUCAUCCCUGAAUGAGGAGUUAAGGACAUUUUUUGCGUGACAAUAGAAAUAAUACAGUAUAAUCCAAAGAUAAAUUUGGAAUAUGACAAGAGGGAGAAUGAAAAUCAUACCUUAACCAUUUUCAUCUAACACGAUGAACAAGAAUGAGUACUUGGUCUUCAUAUUUUCCUCAACUUCCCAUGUUGCUUCUUUCACCUUUUGAUUUCUCUCAUGGACCUUUACUGAAGCUAUGUCAUUAGUUCUCAAUCUACAAACUUUCCUAUCUAAUAUCUCAAUUGUAACUUCAUCAUAAGACAAAGAAUCUGCAAUACCAACGCCCUCAACUGACAUUAUCAAAGAAGGAUUAUCCACACACAUUUUUAGCAUAGACACAUGAAAAACAAGAUGAAUAGAGGCCAAAUUUGCUAAAAAAUCUAACUCAUACAUGACAUUCCCAAUUCUCCUCACAAUUUGAUAUGAUCCAACUUAACGGGGAUUGAGAUUCCCCUUCUUCCAAACCCCAUGACUUCUUUCAUAGGAAAAUCCUUCAAGAGCACCUAAUCGCUAACAUCAAACUCCAACUCCCUUUGUCUCACAUCUUUAUAAGACUUUUGGUAACUCUGAGAAGUCUUAAGUCUUUCUCUAAUCAUUUUCACCUUCUCCAUGGCUUGGUAAACCAAGUCAAUACCAAACAACCUAGUUUCACCCAUCUCAAAUUAUCCAAUAGGAGACCUACACCUCCUACCAUAAAGAGCCUCAGAAGGAGCCAUUUAGAUACUAGAAUGGUAACUAUUGUUAUAAGAAAACUCAAUAAGAAGAAAAAUGGUCAACCCAACUUCCUUUAAAAUCAAUCACACAAGACUUUGGAAUAACCUUUAAAGUAUAAAUAGUAUGCUCUAUUUGUCCAUCCGUUUGAGGGUGGAAAGCGUACUAAGAUUUACCUGAGUACCCAAACCUUUUUGAAAUAAAUGCCAUAAAUGAUAUGAAAACUGCAUACCUCGGUCUAAUAUGAUGGACGCUAGUUCUCCAUACAACUCAACUAUCUCUUGAAUAAACAACUUAGCAUAGUCCUCUCUUGAGUGGUUAGUCCUCAUAGGCAAGAAGUAAGCAGACUUAGUCAUUAUAUCCACAAUGACCCAAAUAGAAUCAUAUUGAUUGUGAGACUUUUAAAGACUCAUAAUGAAACCCCAAUUAAUUAUCUCCCACUUCCACAUGGGAAAAUCUAUCUCUUGAUAUAUGUCACCAGGCCUUUUAUGUUUAAACUAGACUUACUGAUAAACCAUACACUUACCAUGAAAAUUUCCUAUCUCUCUCUUUAUAUUAUUCCAUCAAUAGAUUUCCUUCAAGUCAUAAUACAUCUUAGUUUAACCCAUAUGAACUAUAUCUGGACUUAGGAGCCUCAGUCAAAAUCCUUUUGCACAACCUAUUAACAUCAAGAAUACACAACCUUCCUUGAUACCUCAGAAUGCUAUCUCCCUCAAUUUCGAAUAUCAUAAUAUUUUGCCGACCCACAUCAUUCUUGAUCUACAUAAGUAUGGGAUCCAAAGCUUGUUUCCCCUUUACCUCAGCACUAAGAUAUGAUUUAACCACUUCUUGAACAAUCACUCCUUCAUUUUUAGAGUCUAAGAGAUGAACACCCAAAUUAGCUAACUUGUGAAUAUCCUUUACCAACCCUCUUUUAUCCUUAUCAACAUGAGAUAAGCUUCCGAUAGACAACCUGCUAAGGAUAUUAGAAACAAUAUUAGAUUUUCUUGGAUGGUAGUGAGGCUCAUGUCUUAAUACUUAAGAAACACGAGCCACCGCCUUUGCCUGAGAUUCAAUUCCUUCUGCUAAACAUAUACUGCAAGCUCUUAUGGUAUAAAUAAAUAUCCAUAUUAUAACGCCCGACACUACCCCCUGGACGUCACGUGGUGCUUAGGACUAUAAGUGAUCCCAAGCUAAUCCAUGAACUGAUAUACUGUUAAGCAACUGAUUUAAAUAUGUAUAAAAUAACUAAGUUUACUGUGUGAAAACAUAAUCAUAAUAAACUCUUGGAAAAAUAUAAUACUAAUACAAUUUUACAAUCUGGUAAAACUAAAAAAAGGAACUAAAAUUACUUUACUGACUCUGACUGACAUCUAUGAAGCCUCUACUAUACUAACUAUAGAUAUCUGGGAUGCCACUCCAACUACCACUAAUCAAUACAUAUGAGUAAGAAAGUAAGGUCAUGAAUAACAUCUAACUGAAGUCCCUGAAAUAGGAAGACUCAUCACCUACUGACUGGAAUCUUCAAUUGUCUGAUCGUGAUAUAUGGACUACAACUAAACUGGUACCUACAUUAUUAAAUAAUGUAGUACGUAGAAUCAGUACUUUUGAAAUGUAUUGAGCAUGUGAGGGUGAAUUCAUAAGUAAAACAGUAACUCAAUUAUUCAUAUAGCUUGUAAAGAAUGCAUGCUAAGUGUAAAUGACUCACAUUGGCUUGAAUACUGAAAGCUGAAAAUCAUAAAUCAUGAAUGAUAAAACAUACUAUAUAAAUCUUGUGAGUCAUAACACUUAGUUCUAAAAGUUGUACCUUUACUCUUUCUACUAGUGGAAUAAAUAAAACUAAAGUUAAGUCUGUUUUCAAAUCAUGUAGGCUAAGUGUAAAAACACUCACCUUUGUAUCUGUAAACUAAAAACUGAAAUCUCUUAGCAAAUGACUUAUGUAAAAUAAUAUCUGAGUAAAAACGUGAGCCUUUACACUUAGUUUUUAAAAGUUGUUAUGUUAUUCUAUUUUAGGACUUGGGUUUUAGGGAGGUUUUUCUAACUGACAUACACUAUGUGAGCUAUCGUAAUGAUCAAUGUCUAGUUCCCCAAAGGGGAAAACCUCACAUUGGGGAGAGGUGUCAUACUCUUGAAAAGGAGUAUAAUGAUACGAGUAAGAUCAUGAUCAUGGAUACUUUUUGAGUAUUUUGAAGACCACCUAAAGAGUGCACAAGUCUAAGUAUGAAGGAGGCUCAAAACCAUCCCAAGGACACUCCAUGGGCUAUUUUUGGAGCCCUUUUCAUUAAAAGGUCUUUUAGUCUUUUGUCUUUUAUUUUAUAAUGUAAUAUAAAUUGAACAUUGUAGGGUUUUAGCUGGUAGUUUUUAUGAUUGUUGAAGAAAUAAUACUUCUCUUAGAGAGGGAGAGAGAGAGAGAGAUUCCACAACCGAAACUAGGGCAUAUCAUAUGGGUGGAUUCUUUUAUGUGUUGCAUUUUGCUUGAUACGUUGGUGCUUGGGUGGUGGACGCCUCUCUUGUAUCAAUUGUAAGAGUUAGGUAUUUGUUGUGGGAAAUGUUAAAGGUCCAAGAGUGGAAUAUGCUCUUGGAUUGUUAAGACUACAUCAACACUUAUCUAACUAUCUAUUUUGUAUCUUGUUUUAGUUUCGGAUUCUUGUGUUGUUAAUAUAACCCGUUUGUUCUUGUUGUUAUUUUAAUAUUAUGGAGCUUCAUCUUGUGUUGCUAAAAUUGUUGUUGGCUGGCUGUUUUGGUGUAUUAACACCUUGUAUCCUCUUCUUUAUUGUUAUAGAUAGUGAAUCCGAGAGAGGUCCCCAUUUGGUCCAUGAUUUGUUGUGAUUUGUGGACUAUUUUGGGGUGUGAUUUCAUUUUCUCUUGUUUGUUCUGUAUCAUAUAACCUGAGCUAAGUGAUCACAAUCUGUAUCUUUCAUCUAUAUAAAUGGGAAUUAUCUGAAUCUAUACCUACGUUGGCUCAUAGUUCUGUGGCAUGCGAACUAGGACAUAUACCCAACUUGGUGCUAAAUACUACUCCCUUUAAUCUGUAUGCUCAUUCUGUAGGAAAUCCACCUUAAAAACUAGGGUUUAUAAUGAAAACCCGUUAGGCAUUUGUCUGUUUUAAACUAUAAUCAAAACUAAUCUAUUUUCUGUAAACUAUAACAAAAGUUGUAACAUGGAUUCCAUAUCUAAGCCGAGGAUCAAAAGAUCAAAUCUUUCUCAAAAUCUGAAUAUAAGCUAGUCAUAGGGUGCUUAAAAGAAAAAUCCUCUUCAAAUAUCAAUACUUAACUUAGGGCUUAAAAAUUCAUGCUUUAAAAUUAUAUCAAAUCAUCAUAAAGUUCAUGCUCAAUAAUGAUAAUCUUGAAAUUCUUUAACAAUUCUAGUCAAGAUAGUGAAAUUUAAUUCUCAAUGUAUAUAAAGUCACGUCACACGCAUAAACAUGCAAAAAAAUAGAGUUACAAUUCAACAUUUAAUCACUCAUAACUUUAUAAACUUCAAAUAAUGCUAUUUGGGUAUUAACCUCAAUUGAAAUUCAUGUAAUUCAACUUUAAAAUAACUAGUUUUGGGUACAAGGAUGAAAAGAGUAUCCUUGUUCAUCACCCCAUAUACCUUAUUGGAUUAAUUUGGUGUAGAGGGCUGACUUUGAACUCCUAAAAAUGUUCUUGAAGGAUUAUUGUUGAAAUUCUUUGAUUAGGAAGCUUGGGUUCUUGCUUAUCUUAAAGAAAAUUUGAUGAAGUUCUUGGUGUUCUUAAGGGGCUAGGGUUUUCUUGGAGAGAUAAAAGAUGUAUAAGCUUGUAUCUAAUGCUCUUGGGGCUUUAAUUAUCUGUUAUGGACGAGUUAGGGUGGAGGAAAAGACUUAUUUUCCCUUUAAAACAUUGAAAUAGAAACUGAAAAAUAGGUGCGGGCGAUGGGGCGUGCAUUGCAGGCUAAUCGCGUGACCUCAUUGUUUCUCUUCACAAAAAUGGCUAUAACUUUUUGCUCGGGUAUCGGAUUAAGGCAAAAUUGGAAUCUUUUAAAAACUGACUCAAUUAUCUACAAUCUGUUAGGUCUUAAAGUGCAAAAUUCUAUGUAUAUCAAAAGCUAUACAUGUUCAAAGUAGACCUUUAUAGAAUCAAAUGCUAAAUUUUGAGCGAAUCAAAGGCUCUUAGCUCCACUUUGUUCUAAGUGCUUUUUAUGAACAUCUUUCACCUUGAAAGCACAUCAUAAACUGGGAUAGAUCAUGGAACUUUUAUUCACAUGGGAAUUCAUUGGAUUAGAGCUUGCACACGUAGGAAUGACCGUUUGAGUUCUAGCACGAAAGUACAAGGUGUUACAUUAUCCCCCCUUGGAAUCAUUCGUCCUCAAAUGAUGGAUAGGAAAUUUUUGAAGCUGUAGAGGUAUGGAAUAAUGUGGACAUGAUAUGUCUUCUAUGAAAGGAUAUUACUGAGCUGAAACAUUAUAAACUUCUAUCAUGAAACUGAUUUCUUAGCGGACUUUCCUUUAAUUACUAUAAGGAGUUGAUUCAUGCUGAGAAUUUAGAAUUAGCUUGAAGUGUUCAUGAUACAAUCAUACAUAUAGAAUCACGAAGUGAUAAGUUAUGCAGGCAUGAAUCAUGAGACCAAGAGACUAAGAUCAUACAAUGGGUAUUACACUGUCUGAGUUGGAAUACUUGGAAAACUAAGAUCAUUCACUGAACAUUUAUGAACUGAUUCUUGACUAGAUAUUUGAAUCUGAAACUGAUGCCUGGUGCAUGGACUGAGCUGAGUUCGUAAUUUGCAUGAACGCUAAUAUUUUAACUUAUGGAAUGGUCUCACUCGUGAAACAUUGGGUUGUAAUUCUUGAUGUAAAGUUAGAAAACUAUAGGAGCUUAUCUGCUUGAUUGCUACACUGGAUUACGAGCUAUAUGGAAUGAUCAUACUGAAUGCUCAUGCUCACAUUGAGUAUUUCUUCAAUAAUUUUUUAAGAAAUUCUUAUAAUAUUAGGGAGCAAGGAAAUUUUUGGUGUGAUUUGGACAAGGCAUCUGACUAAGAAAUCACAACAUUGAUACAACUCUAAUAAGUUAGGAUAAAAUUAGUAGGCCUUAGGCAAUGCAACUUCUUACUUUCAAACUUAGCAACACUUCUCAAAUACUCUCUCAACUAUACCAUUCCCCUUAAAUACCAUACUCAUUUGAUUCAGCUUAUAAUUCUCACAUGGGCAUUGAUAAAUCCCUCUACUAAACUAUUAACUGAACUAAAUUCUCUCACCAUCAUCAAGCUUAACUCAAAAUCACAAGAUACAACAUGCUACACCUUAAUACUAUUCUAAACCACAUGCUUCAAUCUUCUAUGUAUCUUUUAGAGCUCACACCGUAAGCAUAACGUGCCUUACUACUUCAAUGACUAACUUAGAACUAUUACUAUGGAUUCACUAGCACAUAUUGCAUUCCUCCACUUAUAUCCGAACAUUACAUUCGAGCCUAUCAUUAUAUCUACAUAUGAACUUCAAUGCAAACGUCCAUAAACGUAUACUUCUAUUAUUCUCUAAACCCCUAUCAAUAACAACUUUCUUGCACUAUUCUUAAUAAGUCAUCCCUAGAAUUCUCAACUAACUAUGACAUAUACCAAGGAUUUACCUCAAUAUUCCUUUAUCCUUUAGACUUAGAUAGAAAAACAUAAAUAAUUUUUCUUAAUGAGGGCCAUCAACUCCCUCUCAUCUACACUAUUGCUUAUCAAUUAUCACCACCACUAUCUUAAUGUCGGAAGAGGUCAUGGAAGGGCAAACACAUAAGGACUUGAAGCUUGAAAAAAUACUAUACCUAACUCUGACACUUAAUUGAGGCCUGAAGAAUAGAAUGUCAAAGGCAUGGAUUCCUUAAAGAGGUAUAAACUGAGGACAUACAUAAUAUAAUGUGAAUUUCACUACGAUCAUGAGUUCUGGGAGCUGAUUAUACUCUGAAACAUGAGUUCAUACUUAUCAUAUGUUAUUUUUCAUGAGACUGGAGUUCACAUAUUUGAUGAGAGAUUGCUUGAAUCACAGAGUGAAGUUGUUACAUACUUACUAGAAGUUGAGAAUGAACUUGAAUACACAUGAAGUGUAUAAGCAUUGUCCCUUAAGUACACCAAAAUAGAAGCUGGAAAAAUAAAGGGGUACGCGCCACGGGCUAUAUUGUGGGCUCUCUUAGUGGUGGAAUGGACCGCGCACCAUGGGAAUAUCGCGGGAUGCUCCUAUUUUGGUGAUCAAAACACACCUCUACGCUUAUCCAAAAAUUCCAAAACAUGCCCGGGGUGUAGUAUCAUCAACCCCGAUCGUGAAUAAACUUAAAAAUGAUGUUCCGAGGUCGAGAAGCUUGAACAUAAAAUCAUCAAAGUCUAGGAACUUUAGAAAUGGCUAAGUCCCAUCACUUAGUGAAAUCUUCUAAGCCUUGGGCCUCUUUAAUUGCAAUAGGGAACUGAAAUGAGAUAGGGUUUUACAAUAUCUCCCCCUUAGGUUAAAGCUAUCCUCCUAAACUUAUGGAUCUAUUUCAAAUUCCUAGAACUAAGCCAUAAUUUCUUUGCUCUAACGGUCUACACAUAAAUACUAAAUUCACUUGAAUAAACUAUAUUUUGAACUUACUGACUUCAUUCUUGGACACCAUUUCAUAUACCAUCCUUAACUUUCUCUAGCUUCCAUAAUCAUCGUCAAAUACUUACACUCUUUUUUGCAAACACACCUACCUCACUAAACACAUAAUCAUAGCCUAACAAGAUCACACUUCUAUACUUAUAUUUUUCUCAAACCAUAUGAAUCAAAAUCAUACUUAAAAUAUCAACACCAUAUAUAAAUAACACCUUAACUAUACAACUAACCUUGUUCCACUUAGCAACUCAAGGGUACUACUAGCCACACACGACACUUAAUAAACUUAGAAAAUAAUGCAACCCCAUAUCACCUUGGGCACACCUUUACGUCAUACCUACAAUAUCAUACUUAAUCUUAAAUCAAUAAACUUAAAUUCUUGCAUUCACUGUUUCAAGCCUAUUAGUUCAUCUCUUUUUUAUUAGCAUCACUAACCAGGAAAUCAUUACAUCCUCUUUGAUGGCUAUCCACUGUUCAAAUUUAGUUCGCAUGAUGAACAACACAACCUCACAUACUAUUCUUACUCGAAAGCUAUAAAAUAAAACAUCAAGAAAUAAUAGUCUACUAAAGCCUCAUGGUAAUAAUAAUUGAGCAUGAUCACAUGGUCUAUCUUAUUAUAAUACUUUAGUACCUCCUUUUUCUACACAUUGCAACUAUUUACCCAUCUAUACAUUCGAAUUACUUUCAUAGCUCUAUAAGUUUCAACUAAACUCCUUUUUGCAACCUCAAAGCAAACCUAAAUUAACAAUACUUAACCACCCAAUACUUUCAUUAACAACCUCCACUUUUCUAACAAUAUAAAUACCAUAAAAUACUUGUUUCAUACUUCAAGCAAACCAUAAACAACCUUAACUAAUAACUUCUUCUCUACCUUCUACAAAACUAACACAAGGACAUAUCAUCUUAACAUAAACUCGAUAGCAUUCAUAAGUUCAUCUAUAUACUUCUAAUAAAUCUCCAUCACCACGUUUCUUGUCACUACACUUCUAUACCCAAUUUUCCAACUAUAAGAAGGUUCUACUACUCAUGAAUCAUAACACCUCGGUUGCAAUAUCCCUUAAACGCAGAUUUUAUUUAGUAAUCUAGAUUCCUACUAUCUUGUCUCAUGAGCAUUAUAUGAAUGAAGGGUUAAUAGGGAAUCUAAAUACAUAUCUUAAUCUGUUUUAGCUGAACAACUCAUAUGGAUGAGGACAUAACUUUUAAUAUGAGAAACUUAUAACACACUAGCAAGCUCCUCUCAAGCCCCUAGUAUGACUUCUGAAAUUACUGAUAGUAAAUUUGAUAGCAACAUUUUGGGAGGAAUUUGGAACUUACUAAUCAUGUUCUCUCUAGAGUAAGUCAUAGAUGGAGAAUUUUGGAGUAACACAUAAAUCAAUAGAGGUUUUUAAGAGAACAACUUUAUAGUACAAUCUAACAACUUUAUAGUAUAAUCUAGAGUAUAAAAGAAAGAAGACAUUUCUUAAAUGUCCUGUAGCCUCUCGAAGAAAAGUACAGAUAUCUUCGUACCGUUCUGCAAGACUCUAUUAGACAUGGCUUCAUAGACACCCUAGGAAACUUGAACCUUGUGCUCUGAUAUCAAAUUUGUAACGCCCCAAGACUACCCCCAGGACGCACACGGUGCUUAGGACCUCAAGUCAUCCUAAGCUAACCCAUGAACUGGCAUACUAUUAACCAACUAAUUUAAAUAUGUAUAAAAUAAUUGAGUUUACUAUGCAAAAACAUAAUCAUGAUGAAAUUUGGGAAAAAUUCGAUACUAAUACAAUUUUACAUUUUGAUAAAACUGAAAAGAGGAACUAAAAUUACAUGACUGACUCUGACUGAUAUCUAUGAAGCCUCUAUUAUACUGACUAUAGAUAGCUGGGACGCGACUCCAAUUACAACUAAUCAAUACAUAUUAAACAUGCUAUAUUUAAACAUAACCUAGUACCACUGAGGAUGCAUCACAAUACACAACAAACCCAUCAAUAUCCUCAAGCAGGGUCAAAACUGGUGCAGAAUUCAAAUUAUCCUUCAACUUCUCAAAAUUACCCCCACAAGCAUCGGACCACAAAACUUAACCUUUUUCUGAGUUAACUUCAUCAGUGGGGGAAAAAAUAGAUGAACAAAUUUCCAGAAACCUCCUAUAGUAGCCUGCCAAAUCUAAGCAGCUCCUAAUGUCGGUUGGAGUCGUGAGUCUAGGCCACUUCUUAACUACCUCAAAUUUCUGUGGAUCCACCUUAAUCCCCUCACUAGAAACAACAUGCCAAAGAAAGGUCACAAUAUUUAGCCAAAAUUCACACUUUGAAUGUUUUGCAUAAUAUUUUUGUUCCUUAAGAGUCUACAAUACAAUUCAGAAGUGAUUGGCAUGAUCCUCUACACUUAUAAAGUACACUAGGAUAUCAUCAAUGAAGACUAUAACAAAUAAAUCUAGAAACUACCUAAACACCCAAUUCAUAAAUACAUAAAAGCAUCCGGAGAAUUAGUCAACCCAAAUGACAUAACAAAGAACUCAUAAUGGCCAUACCGAGUCUGAGAAGCAGUCUUGGGAAUAUCAACCUCCCUAAUUUUUAGUUGAUGGUAGCCCAAACAAAGAUUAAUCUUAGAGAAACAGCUAACACCCUAAAGCUGAUUGAAUAGGUUAUCAAUCCUAGAAAGAUGAUACUUAUUUUUCAUUGUAACCUUGUUCAGCUACUAAUAAUAUAUACACAUCCAGAGAGACCCAUCUUUCUUUUGCACAAAAAGCACAUGAGCAACCCAUAGAGAAAUACUAGGACGGAUGAAACCCUUAUCAAGAAAAUCUUUUAACUACUCCAUAAGUUCUUUUAGUUCAGUUGGAGCUAUCCUAUAUAAAGGAAUGGAAAUGGUAUAAGUAUCCGUUAGAAGAUCAAUCUCAAAAUUUAUUUCCCUCUCGUAAGUAAUCCCAGGAAGACCAUCGGGAAAAAAACUUUAGGAAAUUUAUUAACCACAUAGACAGAUUGCAAAGAGGGACUCUCAAAAUUAGAAUCCUUAACUCGAACUAGAUGAUAUAGACACCUUUUGGAAAUCAACUUCUAAGCUCUAAGACAGGAAAUAAACCCCUCAUUGGGUACUAAGGGACUCUCUUCCCAUUCAAUCACUAGUUCAUUAGGAAAAUGAAAACUAACCUUUCAAGUUCUACAAUUCAGAGAACAUAGCACGAAUAGAGCCAAUCCAUCCCCAAGAUUACAUUAAAAUACUCCAUCUUAAGCUCUAUCAAAUCCACCAAUGUCUCCCUAUUAAAGAUGGAUUCCAUAUAACCCCUGUAGAUUUUUCUAGCAACUAUAGAAUCACCCACCGGAGUAGAAAUAGAAAAAGGGUUGGAAAUAUUUUUAGGACCAAAACCAAAGCGUACAACCACAUAAGGGGUCAUAUAAAAUAAGGUAGUUACCGAAUCAACGAAACAAUAAACAUCUUAAGAGAAGAGCUGUAACAUAUCAAUGACAACAUUGGGGGAUGCCUUGGAUUACUGAUAAUCAAUAAGUGCAUAGAGGUGAUUUCGGCCAGUGUCGAUACCUAAAGUAGCACCAUUAGGUGUAGGAUCCAAAAAAGUGGCGAUCGAUAUCUUAUUACCUCUAGUGGAAACUUUAUCUAUGGGAUAAUUUCAUUACAAAUAACCAGGAUGACCAUAAUUAAAAAAUAAAUUCUUCCCCUCCUCAAAAUAACCAUAGUAAAGCUGCCCACAAAAUUGAUAAGGAGGAUAAGAUGCGACUGUAUGAGCUCUACUAACUUGAGUUUGGGCACUCUGUGCCUUUUGACCACUGCUAGCCUGAAAACGAAAAUCACCAGAAAGCUUAGGAUAAGGAGCACUAGCUGUCGAAUACGAAUUUCCCUAAUUUUUUAGUACACUGUCUACCAUUACUCCUACUGUUCUUCUAACCUGCACCUUGCUUUGAAUAUUUCAACUUCUUAUUCUACCUCUCUCCCAUCUCUACCUUCUUCUUUUUAUCAUCCUCCACCUGCUACAUAUAGAUUAUGAACCUAGAAAUUUCCAUAUCAUUAUUCAACAUAGAAGACUUACACUUUAACACUAAGUAAUGGGAUAAGAUAGAAGCAAACUUUCUCAAUCUGGAUCUCAUAUUAGACACCAACUUUGGAGCAUAGCAGGACAACUGUUGGAACUUAAAAACAUACUCCUUAACACAUCUUUCCAUACUUUAAGUUCACAAAUUAUUCUGCCUUAGCUUUUCUCCACUCCUGAGGAAAGAAAUGAUCAAUAAAAGUACUUGAAAACUUAUCCCAAACUGCGGCCUCAACAUCAUCACCCUUUUUUGCUUU